rnacentral:lncRNA from 1 species
UGUUAUUUGAACAUUGAGAUUCGUGCUGAGUGCUACUGUUGCGAGAAUAAGAAUGCCGACUGUUACAAGACGAAGACUGAGUGCCUGCAGAAGUGUCAUUCCUACAACGGUUAAUGCCCACCUUCAUCGCGGUUUCUGGGAUAGAAUUCCAUAUGCUCGGAAAAUUUGUCCGUCGGUAAUAAAAGGCACCUUAUAUGGUUUGGGCAAUUAGGUUCCAAUUAAACAUUAGAUAGCCCGCAUGUUUCCGUGGAGAUCCAACAAGGAAAAAUUUGAUGAAAGAAAUCCGAGUAACUAGUUGUCUUGCAUAUUUACAAAGUUCAAAUCCUUUGGUUGUUGUGCUUUGACUCGAUUGUCUAUUAUGCUGUUUCAUUUACUUGCACAUUGCCCACUUGUUCAUUUAACACACAUCACCCACUUGGUGAUUUGGCAGUUGUGGGCAGACAGUCAUAUAGAUUUAUUUUUUUUGAGAUCUCGUCAUAUAGAAUUGUAAUAGCACUGACAUGGAAAAAGUUAAAAACUGAAAAAAGUAAAUCAAACAAACAAAUGGUGCGCAAACUAAAUCAAACGGCACAAGACAAGUGAGAUUUAGUCAGGACUCUUUCAGAUGAAGAUAAGUAAAUUGCAAGAAAACAACAUGCAGAAACAUUUUUAUAUCGUAGCAUAACAUGCAAAAAAGCACAUAUAUAGUACAACGACAACCCACGUGUCUAUAUGCUAUCUAUAUGUAUAUCUAUCUAUCUAUAUCUAUCUAUCUAUCUAUCUAUAUAUCUAUCUAUUUAUACCUACUAAUAAAAGACGGAGCAUUUAUGCCCAUCCGUCUCAUAUUUUGCAACAAAAUACCCUACAUUUUUCUUUAAUUAACCCGCGGUCAAGGUUUAGGUGAGGUUCGUCCGUUGUGCUUUUGCAAAGAACGAGGAAACGGUUGCGUUUUGUAAGAUUCAAACUCAUGAUGUCGCCUCCAUGCCCAAAAGCCACAGCCAACUGAGUUAGCAUGCACUUGUGCUACUAAAUAGGUCCAUUAUUUCAUUAAAUUGUCCAACUUUGAUACUUUGCAUGAGAAUACGCAAAUUUAUAUGUGAUUGCAAAUUGCCUAGAAAUCAACAAGCCAACUCGAUAACCAAGAAAUAGAGGGAGAGGAGGAAUUCACUCAAUAAAUAGUGUUAACUAGCAGGGUUUCCCGCGCAUUUGUGCGGCUAUAUUGACCCUUUCCGAUGCCAACUAUAUGGCCUUUCACUAAACUAUAUUUCGAUUAAAUUUACACCCUGUAUAUGUCAUCAUAGAAAAAAUGAAAAUCGUAAUGAAACAUGCAAGUGCAUUAGGUUGUUCAUUUUAAUAUAGAAGUGCAUUAGGUUUUUAAAUAAAUUCCUUGGCAUGUCAGGUUGCAACACCGAUAAAAAACCAUGUAUGGGAUUUCAUGCCAAUCUUGGUGUUUUUCCUCUUUGAUCACUCCUCCUUUGUAUCAUUUAAUAGGUUUUCGAGAAAUUCCCUACCAAGACAUAAAUCUAAACAUGAAAUUCCGGUAUGUAAAGGUCCCUUUUUCUAGUCAUAUCAAUCAACGGACGCAUUCUUAACUACCUUUUCUUGAUUAUUGCUGCCUACCCACUUAUGUAUCAAGAGAUUCACAUCUUCUAUCGUGCUUAUUUUUUCUAUUGAUAAUAUUUUACAAAAUAUUAUCUUUGACUCCCUCCCUUUUAAUUUCUGAAGACUUUGAAAGUGAAGAAAUUGGUGUGACCUUGAAGACUUGGUAUUCAUUCGAGGAACAUGAAGCGUGAAGACUUUUGUUUUUGUAGUUUCAUUUUCUCUUUCUUGAGUCAUAGGAAACAUCGUACUGUUAAGGGGGUCGAGGAAAUACUAAGGAAAAAUUUCCAAGUGAUGCUCAACUCAAAAUCCUACACCUACCAAUCCCUUCGAGUGAAGCCAUUGGAAAUCUCAUGCAGUUCAAUCAAUUUCUUCAGUGACAGAGACGAAGUACUUCUGGUCUCUGAGAAAUUUGUUCUGACUGAGAAGUUAGGAAUUCGCCAGUGCGGAUUACCUACAAGUGAGGAACAUGAUAGCCCUGAGGAAUUAGACACUCAAAAUUCCGACCGUUGCUGUGCUAUGCGCCAGCUGUCCCAAAAUAUCUUACCCACCUAACGGUCAUAUCAUUGAAGGGCAUUUAUGUCUUAUCAUGUAGGGCUGCUCCCUAGGCUAUAAAUAGCCGCCCCCUACAACCACUAGCUGGUUGGCUGCUCCGAGAGAAACUGACACUUGUCAUUUGAGAGCAUCCCAUCCUCCGAGGACUUUGAGCGAAAAUCAUCAAGUGAGGAAAACCCAAACCCAAACACCUAAAAACCCAAAGUGAUUGAGCAUCACCGAAGAGAUUGAUCCUGCGUGGAUCCGACGCUUGUUACCUUUAAAGACUGUGCAUCUUCCAGACGGUUAGGCGUCAUGGUCUAGAGCAUCCAAGAGGAAAUUGUGGAUCGCCGAGUGACAGAGUUUGUGAAGGUUUGGAAGUCACCUGAAGACUUACCACGAGUGAUUGGGCGAGGUCUGUGUGACCUUAGCUCAAGGAGAAUACGGUGAGGACUGUGUGUCCUCAGGUUUAAAUACCUAGCUGCUCCAACCAGACGUACAACCACUACAAGAAAUAUGUCAACUUGCGACCACCACUAUUGGUCACUGAAAGGUCAUUGUUUUUUAUUUGCGGCCUUUUUUUGACCAAAAACAGAAGGUCAAAAGCUGGCGGUCGUAAACUAAAAUUAACGACAUAUGUAAAAGGUCGUUGGUUCUUCGACCGAAAUUUUGGUCACUAGCAGCCUUCCCAAGCCACGUAAGAUCCAGCGUGGCAAGCUGACAUGGAUAAGAUUCAACCCAGUCCGAUUAGGUGUCUAUAUGGGCCAAGCCCAUUAAUUCAGCCCAUUUAUAUUUUUUUUCUGCUAAUUUUUGGUCGACUUCAUAGGCCAAGCCCAACAAUUCAGCCUUCUAAUUUUCUGGGCCAUGGCCCUUUUGCAGACCAUUUCUUUAAGCAUUUUUGUUCAAGUUUUCCAGAAAUAAAUAAUGUGUCAGUCCACUAUUAUUUGGGCCAUAGCCUUUUUAGAGCCCAUAUAUUAUUUGGUCCAAUAGAACAUUUGGUCUUUUUAUCCACUGAUUUCCAGUUUACACAUUUGGAUAGCAAACACUCAAUAAUUCUCUUGAUUAAAUGAUUAAAUUCAGAAAUCAUUCAGCCAAAUACGCACAACAGCACAUACAAGUCCGCACGUCCAACAUCAACUAAAACAAGCAAAAAUAGAUACACAUGCACGAUACACAAGCGCAUACAAGUGUGCUUACAAGCAAAAACAGAUACACAAGCACCAAAACAUGGUGCAACAUCAACUAAAACUGUGGUGCGCAUCUCCAUGCCUCUUGAUCUUCCGUCACAGCAGCAGCAGCAGCCUAAACAACAUUAGAUCCUGAUCCAGAUCACCAAAAAGAAACAUUAUUAAAUGUUUAGAGACAAUGCCAUCAACAUGAGGCGGUAAUCCAACUUAACACUUUGUCAACAUAUUUUACAUAUGCAAAUAACUAAGAUUAUACUGUAUAAGUUUAAGAUCCAAAUGCAAUAUGAAACUGAAUUGCCAAAUAGUAGCAUGUUUAGACAACUUAACAACAUUAUUAAUACUACUUCAGAUUUGGGCUAGUAGAAGGCCAGGCAGAAUUCAUGAGAACUUUAUUGAAUUCAUUCAAUAGAGGAUAGCACAAACAAAAAACACACUGUCAAAAUGAAUCAUGACUGGAAUUGUAGAUGUUCUGUCGGUUAUACUAUAUUAAACUGAGCCAAUUAUUGUAGGUGAAAGUAAUGCUCCUAGUAUAUCAUCAUCAUUAACAUCAAACAAUUCUGAAUGUAAUCAGAGGAAGCACAGCCCGAUCAUGUGCAAUCAACUCAUAAUAAAAGGGUACAGAUGAUUAUUAGUGUUACUAUUAACUUGAUGGUGGCAUCUUAUAUACAAAAACAUGUAUUCCAAAAAAACAAUCAAUAGGGCCGCUGGAAGGGGAGCCCCGGCUCUAGCAAAAGGUCUUAAUGCUUUAGAGAAAAACAGAUUUAGACAAAUAGGAUUUAGUCAAUAGAACCCCAGAAACCCAUAAAAUCACUUCACAUCCUGAUUCAGCGUUUUGUGUUGAAAUAUUGGCCAUCACAAGUAAUUUUGUGCAAGUCUCAAAACAAGGCAAUAAUGAUAUAAUUACUGAAGCCGCUGAUAUGGUUAGAUUAUUUGCAAGUGACUUCAAACAGAACAUAUGGCAUGCCUUAGUCAUGCCCUAAGGCUAAACAGAACAUAUUUAAGCACCUCCAUGAAUACAGCCAAGUCUCUUAACAUGCUUCUACUACAGAAAUCAUAACAACAGCAGGGUCAAGUUGAGUUAGCUGCAGACCUAGUUGAGUUGUCCCCUUCGCUUGGAGAGGACGACGAUCUCGUCGUUGCCCACGUCCCCCGCCAGCGGCCGACUGCUUCUCCACGGUCUGGAGGGUCAGGCAGAAAUCAUACUGCCAUAGUGUGCCCCUGGUUAACCCGAAUCAGCAGCUCUCCAUCCUACUCCAACAGACUGAACCUCUGCUUGCUAUCUCACCUGACUGCCUACACGCAAGAAGGCAAAAAAAAAACAUUCACUCAAAGCAUCUUACAAUUCACAACAAAUUCGAGAUUGACCCAAUUAAUAAUACAGCAUAUAGAGAUUUCAUAAUCAAAGUUCAUGCUGCUAGGCUGCUAGCUAUCAAGAUGAAAACAACAUGUAGCAGAUACAAGCAUACCAGGAAAGGUGGGCUAGGUGUUUAGUAAGAUCGUCUACUGUUCAGCAGGAAGAUGGGUCAUGACCAAAUAUUACCUCCCUGAUUUCAUCCACCGUGUGGGACUUGAGGGGAACCUUGGCAAAGGUCUGCAGGCUGAGGCCGAGCAGGUCGAGGACCCGCACGUAGUCGUCGCUCUUCAUGCCCAGGCUCAGCUCCGACGCCAUGUGCCGCAAGACCAUCGCCCUGAGAAGAGAAGCACAGACAGAAGGCAGCCGUGAGUGGGUGCCAAGGGAAAAAACAUAAGCCACAACCGAGAAUUGCAAGAUUUAGUAUAAAGGAAAUAGGAUUUCAUAGAUCACCUAACAUGGGUUGCAUUGAAAUCCAAAUGAGUCAACAAAAAUUGACUCCCAUCAACGGCGGGUAUGCGGUAGCAGCUGUUGUCAUGGCAACCAGAAACUCAGAAAUGAUAUUGGCGGCAAACCCAUUACAUGUACCAGACGCCACCCACCUAUCAAAAUUGAUAAACACUUCAGUUGUGUCCGAUCCUAUUGCAGGGCUCGGAAAUGACAAUGCCACAACCCUUUGCAUGUACCAGACCCCAUAAACCUGUCCAAAUUGCUAUAUGCACGACCCGUUACAGUCCACAGUUACAGGAUAUGAUAUGCUCAGAAAUGAACAAAUGCCAAAACCCUUUUACUUGUACCAGACCCCAACCACAUGUAGCUAGCAAAUUAAUCACUUCACGCGUCUGAUCCUCUCAAAUGCUAGACUUGAAGAACAUCAACAAGGCCAACUAAAAUCGGACCCUCCCAAUCAUGGAUUUGGCUCCCAGGUAAGUAAUAAAUCACGCAUCUGAUCAGGUAAAGAGGAAUCAAGAAUAGGAGAAGGUUACCAAUCCCAGCUCUCGGAGGUGUUCUCCACCAGGUUGGGUUGGGUUGUGCGCAGACGUCGUAGAUGAUCGGCUUCUCGAACCACCAGAUGACGAUUUGGGUCCCCUCGGUGUACACCUGCAUGGAGCAAACGCCCAAGGGCGACCAGAAAUCAACCGCAGACCAAACGCGCAGAGAACAACAGGGAGCAAGGGACCAACCGCGGACCAAGCCGCCGUGGCCGCAGAUCCUGGGUGGUCGCUCGCGGAUCCGUCGGCGUCGAAGAUGGAAGGCUGGUCUUGGUGUUUGUCGUGGAAUUGUCACGGCAGAUGUCCUUAGCGUGAGGACUUAGUCGUGAGGCCAGCGCAUCUAUGUAGUAGGUUGAGAGGGGUUGAUUGGGAUGAGAGACGCAGGGCGGAUCAACGCACAAGACAAGGGUUUAGACAGCUUCGGGCCCCGGGAAAUAUCAUCCGGUAAUAGCCCUACAUGCUGUUUGUGGCUAGGUCUCAUUAUACUCAUAAGAGAAUCGCCGGUAAGCCGGCUCUUUGUGUCUAACCCUAGAUAUUGUUUCUUGUUGCUUGUCCCUCUUUGGGGUGCCCUGCCCCUCCUUAUAUAAGUUAGAGGGGCGGGUUACAUGUGGAGUCCUAGUAGGACUAGGACUAGUCUAUCUUCUCUUACAAGUUAAUUACAAGUCCGGGUCUUGCUUCCUCGUAAAGGAAGUAUUCGUCAUCCCUUUCUUCUUAAGCCGGCCCAUCAUAUACGUGAGCCGGCCUUCUGGGCCUUGGGCCUUGUUGUCCAUCUGACCCGCCCGCCGGGUUACUAAUGAGUCGCCAAGAUCGGGCAGGUUAUCUGUGAAUCGCCAAGCUCCGGGCGGGUCACCAGUGAGUCGCCAAUUCCGGCCGGGUCAUACCGCGGGGUAUAUCCCCGACAGUGUUGGCUGAUGAAGACGUCGGGGUCCUUCUUCUCCUCCAACUCCGUCCGUCAGGUACCCAUCCCAUCAGCGCCGCUCCGCUCCGACCGCGAACCCUAACCCUAACAGAGAAGGAUGAGGGAGCUUGUGUGCGGCCAGACACGGAGAUGGAGGCGGACGACGUAGGUAGGGAAGGAAGGAAGGGGAGGGGAGGUUGGCGCACGGCGGCGACAGGCGAGGUCGGUGGUGGCGGCGGGGAGGGGAUGGGGAGGGAGGUAGCGGCGGGGAGGGGAUGGGAAGGGGAGGAAGCGACGAGUGGUUGGGCAGGGUUCGCGAGGACGAGGAGUGGGUGCAGUGGGUUUUUUUCUCCUUUCUUCAGAUGGAUGGAUGGAUGGACGUGGGAUUGCUAGCAAUGGAUGGUAGGAUGUCUGCCAUGUCAUCGAUCCGUGUCAUACAUGGUUCCACCAAUCAAAAUCCAGCUUAUGUAAUUGUGUUUCUUUCUUUUGUCUCCUUUAUAUUUUUUAACCUCUUAUUUGGGGUAAACACUCAACAUAUUAGCCUCAUGUUGUAUGUUUAAAUGACCCAAUAUUGUGCACAUAUGUGUAUCUUAGGAUUUCAAACAAUGAUGAUUUUGUGGUCUUCAUUUGCAUUGCACACAAAAAGAAUUCAUUUUUCGAGUGCCCCAAAUGACUUUUUUUGUGAAGAACCUACCAAAUAAUUGUUGCACAAUUGGACCAACUCAUUUUUCUAAAAUACUAGGACAUAUUUAAUUCACAAUUGACCAAAUGGUUGGGUAUAAAAAGUUUUGAUCCACCUCUGGUGAAAAAGACAAAUUUCCGCUGAUUCAGUUGGAAGCGGGUCAAAUUUGAACUGCGGCUGCCUCAUAGUUUGCUAUUUAUUUUUCUCAAAAAUCAUUUCUAGGUACAAAAGUAUCUAUUUAAUCAGAGAAACACCAAAAAAAUUCCAAGAUUCAACCACUAGCUAGGAACGGUCAUUCCCGCCGUUUUGACCGCAUUUUGAAACAGGCAUAAAAAUUUCAAAACAAAUCAAAAAAAUUGUAAAACCUUCGCAUUGUGCCAUUAUAUGUGACCAAGUUACCAGGAAAAAUAAUAAACUUGUAAUACGGCAAUUCUUUUAAAAAAGUGUUCUCAGAAAUGAGCUAUCAUGUGUGAAGAUUCAUGGCUUUCAAGUCAAAUGAUCAAUCUUAUGGCCAAAUUCAUGGCCUAGUUUGUUCAGAUGGUCUCAUAUUGUGCACAAGGGUGCAUCUUGGAAUUCCAAACAAUGUUGCCUAAGUGAGUUUUCAUUUUCUUUGCACGGAAAAUUCAUUUUCCAUUUUUCGAGUGCCCCAAAUGAGGUUUUUUUUAAGGAACUACCAAAUAAAUGUUGUAAAAUUGGACCAAAUCAAUUUUAUAAAAUACUAGGACAUGUUUAAUGCACAAUUGACAAAAUGGUUGGGUGUAAAAGGUUUUUAUCCACCUUUGGUGAAAAAGACAAAUUUCCGCGAUUCAGUAGGAAGCGUGUCAAACUUGAACUGCAACUGCCUUAUAGUUUGCUCUUUAUUUUUUCCAAAAAUCAUUUCUAGGUACAUAAGUAUCUAUUUAAGCAUAAAUACAUGGUUUGGUGGUGAUACGUUGAGGUUUGGACGGUGGCCCACGGCCCCAACUCCAAAGCGCGUAGACUCACAUGCCCGCCGCGUGGUCAUCGCGUGACCGUGGCGUUGCCAUGCGUUCUGGGAAGCCUAGGCAUGCCUAGUAGGUUUGGCAAUCCCAAGGUAGAUGCUUGGAAGAAAAUAACAACAGAAGAAUCUCACGAGGAGACCGAACAAUGCUCAAACAUGAAUUAGCACCCAAGUGUUUGAUUAGUGGUACGGGAAAUUCACAUGGCCAAUGGGCCUGAGUUUUGGCCGAGGAUGAUCAUCUACUAAGGACACUAUCUUGGAAAAUUUGCAGCUCAAAUGGAGGAGCCUAGGUGUCACUCGCUUUGCAACGUACCACACUGAACAGAAAUAUGAAUGUUGAAGCCACACUCACAUGUAUUGUUAGAUGGGGCUCAAAUUUUGUGGAGAGCUAUGAUUUGGGAAUAUAGAAGAUGUGGCAAAAAUUCAGCUCAUUAGGAUAUGCCUAGCUAGUACUUCCUUCACAACAGUUCGAGUUGAACAAAAACUUUGGAAAUUUGCCGAGGAAGAUUUACCAGGCAAAUGGAGUUGAAUAUUGUCAUGAGGCAAUGAUUUGGAUAGUAAAGAAUGCCCAAUUUUUUUUGGGAAUUUUGGGAAUGACAGAAAUAUAGGUUGCUUCACAACCUAGGGCAAAAAUUGACACAUGGACAUGACACAUAAGCAAAACUGAUGAGGUAGCGCCUAGUCAUAGCAAUAAGUACCAAUGCAUCCACGUUCACAACCUCAUGACCAUUUAUAUUGGUCGUAAUAAGGUAGAAAUAAGGUCAUUGGCCACUCUUGUCUGCUUUGUGACCAUUUGGUGUAAGCAAUUUCAGGGUUUGAGCCCUUCCAAGUGAAAUGGCCGUGGAUUUAUGACCAAUUCAGCUGGGGUCACUAAGAGAAGGUCACAAGUUGACAUAUUUCUUAUAGUGAACUGUCACAGCAGUUGGAACUGGUCUACCAAAUCAUUGUCUUCACCAAGCCUACUGGUUCUAUUUCCUCGACUCUUUCAUUUCCUCAUUACUGUGGUGUGUGCUUGUUCAUAUAUGUUUGAAGACUUUGACUCAAGACUUUCUCAAUUUCCUCAGUUCAAUUUCUUCAGUCUAUUUUGUCUUCAUCCUAUUUUAUCCUGUGCUUACGCUUCCUGUACUCCGUGUCUGUUUUCAUUUCAGCAUGAUGACCAUGUUUAUGUUAUGUCAUGUAUGCAUCUGAGUACUUAUUCCGCUGCAAGUAGUUCUUCGCUAAGGAAUUUCCUCACCCUGAAAUUCAUCAGUGAAGAAUUCAUAAAAAUCGCCUAUUCACCCCCCUCUAGUCGAUUUAACGCACUUUCAUCGUCACAUUAGCAACGCCAGACGCUGAGACGAGCACGUGACACCAAGCCCACCUUGUCUAUCUUACGGUAACGCGAGUCGAGGCGGACGUCGACGCGGUAGCGACGACGGACGCCGAGAUGAGUACGUGACACCACUGCCACCCUGUCUAUCUUAGGGCAACGCGAUUCGACGCGGACGUUGUCGCGGUAGCGAUGAAGGAUGCCGAGACGAGCACGUGACACCACUGCCCCUGUCUAUCUUAGGGUAACGCGAGUCGAGGCGGACGUCAUCGCGGUAGCGGCGACGGACGCCGAGACGAGCAUGUGACACCACUGCCACCCUGUCUAUCUUAGGGUAAUCCGACUCGAGGGGGAUGUCAUUGUGGUAGCGACGACGGACGCCGAGAUGAGCAUGUGACACCACUGUCACCCUGUGUAUCUUAAGGUAACGCGGGUCGAGGCGGACAUCGUCGCGCUAGCGACAACGCACGCCGAGACGAGCACGUGACACCACUGCCACCCUGUCUUAUGGUAACGCAAGAGUCGAGGUGGACGUCGUCGCGGUAGCGACGACGGAUGCUGAGACGAGGACGUGACGCUAGGGCCCCCCUGUCCCCGUCGCGGUAGCGACGAUGGACGAUGAGACGAGUACGUGACACCACUGCCACCCUAUCUAUCUUAGGGCAACGUGAGUCGACUGCCAUUUGAUAUAGGUCAGAACUUUUCUGAAUACUUAGUGUCACCAUGUGAUCCAGACGAAUAAUUAAGAAAGUGUAUAAUUUUACAACCAUGGAUACGUGAGUCGAGGCGGACGUCAUCGCGAUAGUGACGGCGGACACCGAGAUGAGCACGUGACACCACUGCCACCCAUUCUUAGGGUAACGCGAGUCGAGGCGCACAUCGGCGCAUUAGCGACGACGGGCGCCGACACGAGCACGUGACACCAGGGCCACCCUGUCUAUCUUACGGUAACGCGAGUCAAGGCAGAUGUCGUUGUGGUAGCGACGAUGGACGCCGAGACGAGCACGUGACACCACUGUCACCCUGUCUAUCUUAGGGCAACACGAAUCGACACGGACGUCGUCGCGGUAGCGACGACGGACAUCGAGACGAGCAUGUGACACCCUGGCCACCCUGUCUAUUCAAAGUGCGUUAUAUCGACUAGAGGGGGGUGAAUAGGCGAUUUUUAUGAAUUCUUCACUGAGGAAUUUGCGGGUGAGGAAAUUCCUUAGCGAAGAACUACUUGCAGUGGAAUAAGUACUCAAGAGUAAGCAUAGCAGAGCAUAGGCAUGGUCAUCAUGAUGAAAUGAAGACAAACACAGAGUACAGAAAGCGUAAACACAGGAUAGCACAGGAUGAAGACAAAAGGACUGAAGAAAUUGAACUGAGGAAAUUGAGAAUGUCUUCUGUCAAAGUCUUCAAACAUAGAUAUGACAAGCACACAACACAGUAAUGAGGAAAUGAAAGAGUUGAGGAAAUAAAACCAGUAAGCUUGGUGAAGACAAUGAUUUGGUAGACCAGUUCCAACUGCUGUCUCAGUUGUACAUCUGGUUGGAGCGGCUAGGUAUUUAAACCUGAGGACACACAGUCCCGGACACACAGUCAUCACCGUAUUCUCCUUGAACUAAGGUCACACAUACCUCGUUCAAUCACUCGUGGUAAUUCUUCAGGUGACUUCCGAACCUUCACAAACUCGGUCACACGGCGAUCCACAAUUCCUCUUGGAUGCUCUAGACCAUGACGCCUAACCGUCUGGAAGAAGCACAGUCUUCAAAGGUAACAAGCGUCGGAUCCACUCAGGAUCAAUCUCUUCAGUGAUGCUCAAUCACUUUGGGUUUGUAGGUGUUUGGGUUUGGGUUUUCCUCACUUGAUGAUUUUCGCUCAAAGUCCUCGGAGGAUGGGAUGCUCUCAAAUGACAAAUGUCAGUUUCUCUCGGAGCAGCCAACCAGCUAGUGGUUGUACGGGGCGACUAUUUAUAGCCUAGGGAGCAGCCCGACAUGAUAAGACAUAAAUGCCCUUCAAUGAUAUGACCGUUAGGUGGGUAGAUAUUUUGGGACAGCUGGUGCAUAGCACAACAACGGUCGGAAAUUUGAGUAUCAAAUUCCUCAGGGCUGUCAUGUUCCUCACUGUGUAGGCAAUCCGCACUGGCGAAUUCCUAACUCCCCAGUCAGAACAAAUUCCUCAGAGACCAGAAGAACUUCGUCUCUGUCACUGAAGAAUAUGACUGAACUGUAUGAGAUUUCCAAUGGCUUCACUCGAAGGGAUUGGUAGGUGUAGGAUUUUGAGUUGAGCAUCACAUGGAAAUUUUUCCUUAGUAUUUCCUCGACCCCCUUUAACAGUACGGUGUUUCCUAUGACUCAAGAAAGAGAAAAUGAAACUACGAAUACAAAAGUCUUCACGCUUCAUAUUCCUCAAAUGAAUACCAAGUCUUCAAGGUCACACCAAUUUCUUCACUUUCAAAGUCUUCAGAAAGUCUUCAGAAAUUCAAAGUCUUCAGUCGAAGAACUUCAUUUUUAGGGGUUGACUUUCUCUGUAAAUAUCAAACUCCUCAUAGACUUAACCUGUGUACACUCAUAAACACAUUAGUCCCUUAACCUAUAAGUCUUCAAUACAUUAAAAUCACUAAGGGGCACUAGAUGCACUUACAAUCUCCCCCUUUUUGGUGAUUGAUGACAAUAUAGGUUAAAUUUUCAACGGGGAUAAACAUAUGAAGUGUAAAUACUGAUAUUUAGGAAUUUGAUUGCAAGAUAUAGAAGAACUCCCCCUGAAGAUGUGCAUAGUGAGGAAUUUGUUUUUGAAGCAAUGCACACUUGAAGAGUUGAAUCAUGGAGAUCUCCCCCUAUAUCUUGUAAUUCAUACACGCAUUUGACAUAAUAUAUGAAGAAUUUGAAAUGCAUGAUGAAAUAUGGUGACUGAUGUAAUUCAGCAUGCGUGCAAUAACAUUAACGAGGAAUAAGCAUGCAAAAGAAACAACAAAAGUAUCAGGCCACCAUAGAGUUUUAAGUUUACAACUCGAUAUAACAAAGUCAUCAGAAGAACGAGAGUUGUAACUUAGAAAAAAACGCCCAUAAAAGAUAGACCCGCUUGAAGACUAACUCAAAUUUCUCCCCCUUUGUCAUCGAAUGACCAAAAGGUUCGAAAAUGAGGACUAACGCCCCAGAAGAAUAUCAAGUUGAUGAAGGAGCGCCAGCGUUGUUGGGGUCAUUUGUUGAUGUAGGGCCUGCCGCAGUGUCGUCCAAGUCUUCAUGCUUAUCAGUUUCACGCGAUGAAGAAUAGGAGCUGGCCACCAAGGAAGGAACCUUGACCUUCUUGUAUUUCUUCGGUGGAGGUGCAGACCAGUCAAAGUCCUCCUUGAGACCCAUGUUCUUCAUAUCUUCUUCGCUGUAAAUGUGAGACAGAACAGCCCAGGUGCGACCGAAGACUUCAUGGAGGUAGUAAUGGUUUUUCUUCACUGCAUUAUGUGUAGCAGUCAUGUUGUGAAGAAUUGAACCAAACUGACGCUUAACCCAUUUAUGGUUUCGAUCCACCUUCUGGUGAAGACUUAGCAUAAGUUCACGGUCAGUCAUCACACGAGGAGCAGUAGCUUGAGGAUUUGGCUUGGAGGCAUGGGCAGCAGAAUCAUGAGUGGCAGAGUCAUCAUUGGUGGAAUAAGAUGCAGCCUUGGGAAAUUGACCAUCCAAUGGACGAAUGCCUUCAUCUAUAACAGCUGGUGCCUUGCCCUUUUCGUCAGCUGAGGAAUAGGUCCACUUGAGGACUUCAAUCGGGGGCAAGUAGCUGAGGUGAUUCUGAAAAUCAGCUUUGUAGUUGAGUGAAGACCUUGUUCUGAUGAAUCUCAUAAUCCACGGUGCAUAAGGCUUCAACUCAAACGGUGAAAGUGCAACAUUUGCCAGAGUCCUCAUGAAGAAAUCAUGAUAAUUGACAGGAAUGCCAUGAAUGAUGUUGAAAACCAGAUUCUUCAUGAUGCCAACAAUUUCCUCAUCAGAUGAGUCGUGGCCUUUGAUUGGACUCAUAGUCUUCGUCAGAAUGCGAUAGACUGUCCUUGGUACAUACUGCAAUUCCUUCACGAGGAAUUUUGUCCUUGAGGCUUGACCUGGUUUCCAUGGCUUCAUCAGCACUUGCAUAUAGUGAUCAGUAAGCUCAGGUUCUUGGUACAUGCAACAAGCUCCUUCAGGUGGAGAACUGAUGGGCAGGGCGUGAAGUAAUUCAGUGGCCGGUUCCUUAUAGUGAGUAUUUUCAGCCAUCCAGUCCAAAACCUAGGAGUUCACAUCGUCAGGAUCUCCCGUGAUGUGUAAAGUUGCGUAGAAUUGAAGAAUGAGUUCUUCAUUCCAAUCAACUAUGUCUGUGCAAAAGUUGAGGAGGCAUGUGUCAUGAAGCACACUGAGGACAGGAGUGAAGCAUGGCAGUGAUUCCAUGUCCACAUGAGGAAUAUGCUCGUGGUCGAAGACUUUUUCCUUGUUGAAGAGCAGUGAAGAAUAGAAGUUGGCCUAGCUGGCGGUCCAGAAGCGCUUCCUUCUAAGACGAGCAGAAUCAUAGGGAUUGUAGUCAGUGAAGAACACGUGCUCGCCAAAGAAAUCAUCAGCCUUGAAUUUCUGUGUCACAUCCCUAGUUCUGGUAUGACCUAGGCUAGCUAGUCAUGUGUGCAUCAUGUUUAAAUUCCAUUUAAAUUUGAAGUGGGGAUCUGUGAAACCCUCAGAAUCAUUUCUGGAAAUGACCCAGAUAAAAAUUGCUCCAAAAGGGUCCAAGAAAAUGUUCAUGUUGCUCUCUGAAAAUAUUGGACAGAGAUAAAAAUCAAACCAAUAUUUUUAGGAGAUCAUAAAUAUUUAUUUUGGGCAUUUGGAAUUAAUGCAGUAAUUAUUUGCUUUGGAUAUAUAUUGUUAUAUAUAUAUAUAAUAUUGUCCAAAAAUUAUGCCAUUUGUUGAGGAGUUAUGGAAUAAUACCACUAGCCCCUACAAAAAUUGGCAUAAGAAAAUAAAAUGAUUUAGUAUUCUACUAAAUCAGAACAAAUGUCAGAAAAAUAGAAAAGAAAACAAAAAGGGAAAAGCUUACCUGUGCUCACCCAAGGCCUGGCCUGGCCCAGCAGCCCAGCAGGCCGGCCCAGCCGACUGGCCAGUGCCAGUCAUCGUCCUCCUGGCGCCAGGAGGACGAUGGGCACGCGCUCGCUGCCCGCGCGCAUGCGCGCCACCUCCUGCUUCUCCCCCCUCAUCGCCCUGGACGCCUCCCGCAAUGCCACGCACACCCCUGACCCCUCUCACUCUCCCUGGACCCCUUUCCCCUCCUCUGCUCUCUGUUCCGCGCCGCCCGAGCGGAGCUCGUCGCCGCCGACGUCGUUCACCGUAGCCUCCACCUCCUCCUCAACCUCUCUCCACGCCCAGAAGCUCCGCCAUCGUCCCCCUCAUCUUCACGACCGAGCCACGCAAGCCCGGAGGCCCUGCAUCGCCGGCAACAUCACCAUCUUCCUCCUCCGCCGCCCUGGAUCGCCGACGUUGAUUAGUCGCCGUCCGGCCUCCCCCGAGCUCGCUGACGUCUCCAAACUACGUGGGGUGAGCCCCUCUUCGUUUCGCCCCUAUCCCCGUCGCCCCGCACGUCCUCUAGCACUAGCGCCGCCGUGCCCGAAGCUCGCCGCCGCCCUGCCAUGUCAUUGUCGUGGGCACAGCCGCCUCCGCCCGCUUUUGAGCUUACAGCCGUGCUAGUUGAGCUCGCAGGAGUCCGUAGCACUGCCCAGUGGUGGAAAUGGUGCACCGUAGAAUCGACCCGCACAACGCCGUGGCUCUGUCGCCGUUGAACCUCGCCGCCGGCGAGAUUCCGGCCUCCCGUGACCUCCCGUCUGGUCCAUCAUAUGCACGAGAGCAAGAGCUCAUGCCCGGUGCCUCCCGAGCGACAAACCGCAGCCCCUAGCAUGUUUCCGGCAAUCUUCCGCCGCGGUUUGAGGUCGCCGCCAGCCAAACUCCGGCGUGCCGACGUGGCACGGCCAUUAGUGGUUAAACCCCACUAAUUAGCCGCCCUACAGCCGCUGACAGCGGGCCCCACAGCAGGUCAAAGGUGAGUCAACGCGGGGUUAACCCCUGUCUCACUGACCAGUGGGCUCCGCCAGUCAGAUUUGACCCUGGCCAGCCCGUUGACCUGCUGACGCAGCGAUGACGUCAUGCUGAUGCAGUAAAGGAUUUUCUGGAUUUAAAUUAAAUCAGGAAAUUCCAGAAACUAGUAAAACUUCUAAAAUUCAUAGAAAUUCAACCGUAGCUCAGAUUGAAAUAAUUUAUAUAUGAAAAAUUAUCAGAAAAAUGCAAUCUAUCCAUCUGUACUAGUUUCAUGCAUGACAAACCAACUUAUACCUACUGUAUAAGUGAAAACAUAUAAAUGGAUUAUAUAAGGACUUAAAUUAGAGUCGCAUUUGAACCUUUGGUUCAAAUGGAUCUCUUCCAAGUUGAAUGCUAAAUGCAUUGGCUCAAAAUACAUCACAUAUACAUGCCAUAUUCAUGCAUCAUAUUGCUGCAUAUGAUUGUGUUUUUGACUGUCGACACCGUUCCCUCUCGAUAGGUCCUGCUCCGGAGAGUGUUCCAGAGUACCUGUCUGAGGAGCAGUGCCACCCUGUUGAUCUACUAGGCAAGCAAACCCCCUUUGUUCAUUCCGAUACAAUCCUACUCUCUCGCUCCUGCUCUCUUUUACUGCAUUAGGACAACAACGAUUCAACUGCUACUUUAUGCUGCGGUAGUUGAACCCAUUCCUCUGCAUGACCUGUCAUUGCCACAGUAAAUAGUUGAAACCCACUAGCAUGUGUAGGAGUUGAUUGAGCCAUGUUGUGUUCCUACCAUGCCAUGCCUACUAUUGCUUAGAGUUGUGUCAGGUCUGAUUCAUUGGGAAUGAAUUGGAGUGUUACGAUAUGUUCUGGUGCCGAGAGUUAAGCGUGUGAACACGAUUUGGUAAAGGUAGCGGUGAGAGGCCAUGUAGGAGUACAUGGUGGGUUGUCUCAUUGGAACCGUCCUUAAGCACUGAGUUCUGUGUAUGUUGUCCAAUGACUAGCUACUACCACACAUUGGGUUCCGGUAACUCGACCCCUCUCGACUUAUUAACCAACUUGAUCUCUGUCCAGGAGUUGCAACUAGUUUCUGGUGUUUGUAGGUAGUGCUAUUUUUCUACCGAGUGGCACCCGGCAGGGUGGGCUUGGGACAGACUAGGCACACGUGGCCCGGUGUACCCAGUGGCACCCGGAUGGUGGGCUCGGGAACCCUGUACACAUCGUUUGGGGCCGUGAGCGACACCCCGGCCGGAUCUCCUUGCGGAUGGAACCCGAAUAGGUGAUAAACCUGGACUAGAGUCUUGUGUGGUUAGUCAGGUCGUGGCCGACACCCUCGCCAGGCUUCCGCUUGAAGGUUGCCGAGGUACAUGACGUGUACAUGGCGGUAAGUGGCGAGAGCGUGUGUGACGCAGUACACCCCUGCAGGGUUAUCAUGAUCUAUUCGAAUAGCCGUGUCCUCGGUUAUGGACUUCUUGGAUGCUUACGUGGUACAUAGACAACCUGAAGUGGAUACUCUAAAAUGCUCAAGAUAAGUGUGAGUGCUAUGGAUGGCUUCUUGUAGUGAGACGGGAAUGAAUCCAUAGUGGUGUAUUGAGGUGGUGAUUAGUGGACUCGUGUGCGCCUUCUUACCUCAAAGAAGUCUCUCGUAGUCGUAGAACAGGAUAGCCACUGAGUCAAAGCUGGCUUGCUGCAACUAAACCCCACACUACCUUCUUGAUACAAAUGCAUGUAAGAUAGGAUCUGAAGUAAGUCUUGCUGAGUACCUUUGUACUCAUGUUGCUUUGUUAAUGUUUUUGCAGCGGAGACUUCAGUCUUACUAGUUGCUCCGCUUGGACUUCGACGAGUAGCUUGUACCUCAACUACGAUCUUGUACCCUUGGGAGGGUCUUGUAGAUAGUCAGGCUUCUCAGCCUUUUUCUUUUGUAGUUGUCUGUACUCACAAAUGUAAUGCUUCCGUUGCUUGUAUGCUCUGAAUGAUGGGUCAUGUGACCCCUGUUGUACUUAAUGCUAUGUGGCUCUUCUGGGCCUUUUAUCUAUAUGAGUUUGCGUUAUGUUGUGAUGCCAUGUUGUACAGCACAUACUUGCAUGUUAUGCGUACGUGUAACGUGUAUUGCUAUGUGUGGGAUCCGACAAUCUAGUUGUUUAUCCUUGGCAGCCUCUCUUAUGGGGAAAUGUAGUCUAGUGCCUCCUUGAGCCAUAGUAGUCCGCUACAGCCCGGUUCACCGGAGUCCUGCUAGCCCAGCACUACUGCUCUGGACACUUGACUGGCCGGCAUGUGUUUCAUUUCAUUCCUGUGUCUGUCCCUUCGGGGAAAUGUCACGCGGUGACAUCCGGAGUCCUGCCUAGCCUGCUACAGCCCGGGUUCCCGGAGUCCUGUUAGCCCAGUGCUACAGCCCGGAUUCACACGCUGCUGACCGACACGCUCGAUGUUGAUUCAUGUAUGCAUGUACCCAUACGUUAGUGCCGCUUUGGGUUCACGACUAGCCAUGUCGGCCCGGGUUCUCUGUCAUAUGGAUGCUAGCGACAUUGUCAUAUACGUGGGCCAAAAGGCGCAAACGGUCCCGGGCCAUGGUAAGGCGACACCCGUGGGAAUACCGUGCGUGAGUGUCGGGACCCCGAUUCCAAGUCACACCGAUCUAGCCUGUAACACCUCAUAUCACUUNNNNNNNNNNNNNNNNNNNNNNNNNNNNNNNNNNNNNNNNNNNNNNNNNNNNNNNNNNNNNNNNNNNNNNNNNNNNNNNNNNNNNNNNNNNNNNNNNNNNNNNNNNNNNNNNNNNNNNNNNNNNNNNNNNNNNNNNNNNNNNNNNNNNNNNNNNNNNNNNNNNNNNNNNNNNNNNNNNNNNNNNNNNNNNNNNNNNNNNNNNNNNNNNNNNNNNNNNNNNNNNNNNNNNNNNNNNNNNNNNNNNNNNNNNNNNNNNNNNNNNNNNNNNNNNNNNNNNNNNNNNNNNNNNNNNNNNNNNNNNNNNNNNNNNNNNNNNNNNNNNNNNNNNNNNNNNNNNNNNNNNNNNNNNNNNNNNNNNNNNNNNNNNNNNNNNNNNNNNNNNNNNNNNNNNNNNNNNNNNNNNNNNNNNNNNNNNNNNNNNNNNNNNNNNNNNNNNNNNNNNNNNNNNNNNNNNNNNNNNNNNNNNGCCUUACCAUGGCCCGGGACCGUUUGCGCCUUUUGGCUCACGUAUAUGACAGUGUCGCUAGCAUCCAUAUGACAGAGAACCCGGGCCGACAUGGCUAGUCGUGAACCCAAAGCGGCACUAACGUAUGGGGACAGGCAUACAUGAAUCAACAUCGAACGUGUCGGUCAGCAGCGUGCGAAUCCGGGCUGUAGCACUGGGCUAACAGGACUCCGGGAACCCGGGCUGUAGCAGGCUAGGCAGGACUCCGGAUGUCACCGCGUGACAUUUCCCUGAAGGGACAGACACAGGAACGAAGUGAAUCACAUGCCGGCCAGUCAAGUGUUCCGGAGCAGUAGUGCUGGGCUAGCAGGACUCCGGUGAACCGGGCUGUAGCGGACUAGUAUGGCUCAUGGAAGCACAAGACUACAUUUCCCCAUAAGAGAGGCUACCAAGGAUAAACAAGUAGGUUGUCGGAUCCCACACAUACCAAGCAUUUCAAUCAUACACACAAUAUGCUCGAUAUGUGCAAAUACAACAUGGCAUCACAACAUAACUCUACGACUCAAGUAUUUAUUCAUUAGGCUCCGAGGAGCGAGAUAUUACAAACAUGGGUCUCAUGACCCAACAUUCAGAGCAUAAAAGGCAAACACAUGCGGAAGCUUAACAUGUCUGAGUACAGACAUUUACAAAUGGAAAAGGCUGAGAAGCUUGACUAUUUACUAGAUCCUGCCGAGGGCACAAGAUCGUAGCUGAGGUAUCAAGCUAAACGUCGAAGUCCACAUGAGACUAAUAGCGAGACUGACGUCUCUCUGCAAAACAUAAAAUAAGCAAACGUGAGUACAAAUGUACCCAGCAAGACUUACAUCAGAACUAUCUACAUAUGCAUCGGUAUCAACAAAAGGGGUGGUGGAGUUUAACUGCAGCAAGCCAGCUUUGACUCGGUGGCUAUCCUAAACUACGACUGCAAGUAACUCUUUUGAGGUGGCGCACACGAGUCCACAUAUUCACCAUAUCAAUACACCACUAUGGAUCCGCUCCCGUCUCCCUACGAGAACGCCAUCCAUAGCACUCACGCUUAUCUUGCGCAUUUUAGAGUAUCCACUUUCACUUGUCUAUGAACUGUACAGGCAACCCAGAAGUCCAUUUCCGCGGACAGGGCUAUUCGAAUAGAUGAUGUUAACCCUGCAGGGGUGUACUUCGACACACACACUCUCACCACUUACCGCCGUUUACACGACAUGUACUCGGCAACCUUCAAGCGGAGGCCCAGCGAGGGUGUCGGCCAUAGCCUACCUAAACACUCAAGUCUCUAGUCCAGGUUUAUCGCCUAUUCAGGUUCCAUCCGCAGGGAGUCCGGCCGAGGUUUCCACAUACGGCCCCGAACGAUGUGUGCGGGGUUCCGAGACACCAAACGGGCGCCCGGCAUACCCGGCCACGUGCCUACCGCAUCACAGCCCACCCCUCCGGUCAGCGCUGCCCACGGCCUCCAGCAUACUACAAACACCAGAAACUACUUGCAACUCCUGGACAGAGGACAAGGGUGAUUAAGAAGCCGAGAGGGUCCAUUGGUAGUAACUGUAUCAUGGAUCACAAACACAGAACUCAGUUCCUGAGGACGGCUGCAAUGAGACAACCCACCAUGUACUCCUACAUGGCCUCUCACCGCUACCUUUACCAAAUCGUGUUCACACUCUUAGCUUACACACAGUAGGACAUGUUCAUCACCAUUCCAAUUCAUCCCCGACGAAUCAGACCUGACACAACUCUAAGCAAUAGCAGGCAUGACAAACAAGCAUGAAUGAGUAGGCACACCAGGGCUCAAACAACUCCUACUCAUGCUAGUGGGUUUCAUCUAUUUACUGUGGCAAUGACAGGUCAUGCAGAGGAUAAGGGGUUCAACUACCGCAACAAGUAACGGUUGAAUCGUUGUUGUCCUAAUGUAGUAAAAGAGAGCAGGAGCGAGAGAGUGGGAUUGUAUCGGAAUGAACAAGGGGGUUAUGCUUGCCUGACACUUCCGAAGAUAGUAUAGCUCUUCAUCGGUGUCAUCGAUCUCAUCGUCGGAAUCACGGCUAUUGAGAGGGGACAAUCACCGGCAAACAAGGAAGAACACAAUCAAUGCAAUGCACAAUAUGAUGCAUGAUCAUGACAUGGCAAUAUGACGUGAUUUGGCCUAAUGCAAUUAGCAACAGAAAGGUUUGGGUUGAUUUGAACUCAAGGUUCAAAUUCAAAUUCAAACUAUGAAUUCAAAUAGUGCAUUAUCAUGUUUUCACCUAUACAGCAGGUAUAACUUAGUUUGACAUGCAUGGAAAUGAUACAGAUGGAUAGAUUGCAUUUUUCUGAUCAUUUUUCAUAUAUUAAUUAUUUCAUUCUGAGCUACGGUUGAUUUUAUAUGAUUUUGAGAAGUUUAUACUAUUUUCUAGAAUUUCCUGAUUAAAAAUAAAUCCAGAAAAUGUAAUACUGCAUCAGCCUGACGUCAUCACUGCGUCAGCGAGUCAACGGGCUGGCCAGGGUCAAACCUGACCCGUGGGACCUGCCUGUCAGUCUCUCAGUGCCUAAUUAAGUUUAGGUUUUAAACUAAACUAACUUUUAACAGGGGCUGGCCCCACACGUCAGUGGGUCAGGGGGGAAGUCAAACCCCGGUCAAGCAGGGUCAAACCCGCCGGACUUGGUCCACGGCUCGUCGCCUGUGAAACCCGGGACGGCGGAGGGGCUCGGGAUUUGCCCACGGUCGACCAAAUCGACCGCGGUUUGGUCCUACGCGUAGCUGGGGCUCGCGCGCAUCUAGUAGGCCAAGCGGGAGGAGCUGGGGUGGUCUAAGUCGACGGCGGCGAGCACGAAUGCGGCGGCCGGAGUUCGGGCGUCGGUGGUUUUGCUGCUGUAGCGUGCUAGUGGGUGAAUGGAUGCACUAGCGAGACGCUACGAGGUGCGGUGAGUGUGUUAGGCACCGCGCGGGACCAAAUGGUCACCGGAGUGAUGCUGGCGUCGAGCUCGCGCGGCGGCGUGCUACGGUGAGCAAGGGGGCGGCGUCUACAAUGAGCAAACGGAGCAGAGAGGAGGGGGGUUCGACGCAGGGGCUCACAGUGAGUGCAGAGGUGGCCUCGGCGUGCUCGGGGAAGCACCGGAGCGAGCGGGGCGGCGAGAGGGAUCUCCGGCGUUGGGAGGUUGAAGACGACGACGUGGAGGCACUCGGGGGCGUCCGGCGUUGCACAGCUCGACGAGGAGGAAGAGGGAUACUAGGCGGAGCUCUUGGGCAUCUCAGGGCGUCGCCGGGAUGGCGGUGUCCGCGGUGGUGGCGAGCGGCGGCGACGGAGGCGUUCGGGCGGGAAGAACAGAGGAGGGGGAGAGCGUUCGGGGGAGAGGUCGAGGCGUCGAGGGGGUGUCGUGGCGCCGUCUAGGUGCAAUGGGGAGGAGCCAGGCAGGCUGGGAGGGAGGAGGUGGCCGCGGCGUGUAGCUGCGCGCGUCGGGCACGCGCCCUCGCCUACUGGCGCGAGGAAGGCGACAGGAGAGCGCCUGGUGGGCUGGGCCGCCAGCUGGGCCGGCCAGGUGGCUGUGGUGGGUGCCACGUAGGUAUCUCCUCUCUCUGCUUUCUGUUUUUCUAAUUUGUUUCUGUUUUCUAAUUAUUUGCCUCUGUUUUGGGCUUAGGAAAAAUACCAAGGCAUUUCCUAAAAUCCUGAAAAUAUUCAUGGACACUUGCUGAAUUAUUUCAGUGGCCCAAAAAUAGUUCCAACAUUAUUUGAACAUUUAAAUUAUUUAUAGCAUUUAAAUGCCCAAAAUUCAAAUACAAUAAGAUUUAAUUCAAAAAUCCAGGAUGGCCUAGAAAUAGGUGCAUCAUUUUUGGCAGAGGUUUUCACCUUUAACAAAAAUCAUGAACUUUUCUAAAGGGCAUUUGGGUUCAUUGAAAAUAUUGUUUACUUGAACCUAGUUGAAUGCAUUUGGUGCUAGGGUUUCAACAUCCCCAUUUCAAGUUUCUUUGAAAAUUAAACAUGAUGACAUGAGGAACAAGCAAAAGUCAAACAAGGGCUGAUCUGGGGCUGUGACAGUGAGGCCGCAAAGUGAUAUGAGGUGUUACAUGCUAGAUCGGUGUGACUUAGAAUCGGGGUCCCGACAUUCUGCUUCUUUGAGAAUGGAUCCUUUGGCUUGGGCUGAGGAGUGUCAGUCAAUUGCAUUAUCACCUCAGGAAUCGCAAUCUCAGGUUCUUCAGGCUGAGGAAUUUCAGCUUCUACUCCAGUGACAGCCUGGGUCUUCAAUUCUUCAUGUACAUUUUCUUCAGCACUAGUGGCUGGAAUUUCUUCAUGGAUAGAUGGGGUUGCACGAGGUUCUUCAGAUCCCAUUUGUACUUCAGUAGCAACAGGGGACUGAGGAAUUUGCUGUAAAGGUGUGAAGAGUGGAGAGUUGGGGUGCUGACUUUCCCAAAAGUCAUCAUUCAUCACUGGUGUGGUACAGCCAAUGUCCACGUCUUCAUCUUCUAUUUCUUCAAUGCCGGCCUCUUCAGCAGUAAACUGAGGCAUAGGCGAGGAAACAACUGGAGUUGAAGGGAUUUCAUCCACUUCAAUUUCUUCGUCCAUCUGCUCUGACGAAGCAGCAGAAGGAUUUUCUUCAUCAGAUCCGCUAGGGAUCAAAUAUUCUUCAUCAAAAGGAACAAGGUCCUUUGAUGGCAUGGUUGAGAUCGGAACAGCAUCAAUGGGGUUUGCAACUGAGCUGGUCAAUUUCUUCAUCUUCUUCGGAGCUGAAGAAUCUGAUGAAGCUGAUGCUUUCCUUUUCUUCACUGCUGCACGCUCUGCAGCCUUGGUCUUCUUCACAUCUGAUGCAGAUGGAAGAAUUGGAGUUGGGGUAGGCGCAGGAGGAGCAGAGGAAUGUGGUUGGUUUUCUUCAGGCACAACUGAUGCAGUUGCCCUGACCUCUUCAUUUUCUUCAGGCGCACCACUAGUGGAUGCCCUGGCAAUUUCAUCAGCGGCAGGAAUGCAGUCAUCAGCCCUAGACCUCACAUUUUCUUCAGCAUCCUGAAUGUCAUCAGCGGUGCUGGCAUGUUCUUCAGUUGGCUGAGCAGAUGCUUCAGUCUGAGGAAUUUCUUGUUGCGAUGGGGCUGCAACAUUGGAGGUGAACUUCUCAGUCAGUUUAACAAACCUGACCUUGGCUCCUUGCCAAUCAGCAAAGUAAGCAUUGAAAUCAUCGCUGAGGACUUUGAUUUCAGACUGGAUCUUCACAAGAUCAUCAGUUGUCAUAGAGACAACGUUGUUCUUCAGGAAUUUCUCCUUCCCGUACUGCGCUUUCUUGAUCUGCCUGGCCUUCUCAAAUUUCCAUUUCUCUUCUUGGAUGAAGGCAGUCAGCAUAUGAUUUUGGCCAGGAGUCAGCUUGAAGUCAGGCAUAGGAGUGUUUGGGUCCUUGUGCCAGAGAUCAAUGUAAUUGAGGACCAACUUUGGAUCCAAAAGCAGAGGCACAUUUGUGCCCUUGGCUCUAGCGGCCCUGACUUGCCUAUCUCUGAUGAUUUCAGCAAGUUCUUCAUCAUCAGCUUCGUCUUCUUCAGACGGCACUUGGAAGGCGACCUGCUUCUUGUGAGGACUUGGGCGAGAACCUCGUCCAGCAGUGGUCUUUGUCUUCAGCAGAGAGGGUCCUGUUGAAGAAUUUGGAGCAGCCGAGGAACUAGCUGAAGCUCCUGAGGCAAUAAAGAUCCCUGUAGUCCUUUGGCACGUGGCAAGAUGCACAGGUGCUGAGAAUUUGGUCGGAGCAGCUGAGGACUUAUGCGGAGGAGCUGAGGAUUUUGGAGGAGCAGGAGCAGCGUGAGGAAUUGGCCGUGAGGGCUUUGAGGAUUCUGGCCGUGAGGGCAUUGAAGGUGAAGCAAUUGGCUUACGCGCAGGCUUCUUUGCCAUGGAUUUCUUCGGUUUGACAGAGGCCUCAGCGGCAGCAGCAGCAGGAGAGUCUUCAUUGAAUUUCCUCACUGCUUCUCUGGCUUGUCUAGCCAGCUUGGCCUGGCGCUUGGCCCAUUCAUCAGGAUAAUCCUCACCACGCUUGAGGCUGGUGGGAUCAACUUCUUGGCCAGGUGCCAACGGAGGUCUUGGGCAUGGAGGAUUGAGUGCGAAUUUCUUCAUGUACUUGGGAGUCACAUACAUGUACUCCCUCCACUCUCUUGCCCAUCUCCUCUCUAUCUUCUGAAUGCGCACCUUGCGCUGAUUUUUAUCUUCCUCAGGGGGUGUGCAGUACCCAGCAUAGAUGUCCUCAGGGAUUUCAAAUGCAGUGUUGACCUCAGGCCUCUUUCCUCCUUUCUGUGGCUUCUUUCCAUCAACCAUUUUCUUCAGAUGAGGAAUUUGAACAAUUGAAUUCUCUGAAGAAGUAUGCAACUUUUCUUCGAGGAACGCUACAAAUGAGUUAAGUUGAUGAGAACCUAGAGAUUCAACAGCGGACAUGAGUACCUGUGAACAGAGUAUAGUUGCGAGGAAUUUGGAGAGGUCAUAUGCGUUCUCAAAAGGUUUUUCAAAAAGAACAAGUUUUAGGAAUUUGACCAGAUGAGUCUUGAAGAAUUUCACUAAGCGUUCUUUGUCUUAGGUUCCAGAGUUGCAUAGAUCGAAGAUCCACACAAUUGAGGAAUCUUGAAGAAAAAUUAUUGCUUAGAGAAAUGAAUCAAGAACAGAUGACAUGUGAGGUGUUUAGUGUGUGAAGAAUUUGAAGAAUAAACACCUUUGAAGAUUUUGUAGAAAUCAUUUGAAUCAAAGAGGGCAGUAAAAGUAACUUUUAAUUACCCUGGACAAAGAACACGACGAACUGUGAGGUAGAGAUGAGAAGUUCGUCUGUGCAGAUCUUCCACGCCCUAACUCGGCGGAGGAAGACGGCUACGGGCGGCGGCGGAGUGAAGAUUUCCGCGGUCGGCGCGAGUACGGCGGCGACGAGGUCGAGGCAGUGAAGCUCUUCCUCACCGGCGACGAUGAAGUAGCGGCGGUGCUAGGGUUUGAGAAGCUCGAGCUGGAGAGAGGUCGAGCGGAGUAAAGGAAGGGAGGAAGGGGAGAUGGGGUAUUUAUAGCCACGGUGAAAAACUGUUCGCCCGAAGAUUUUGGACGAACGUGCCCCUGACCCUUCUCAUUCGCUUGACAUGUGUCACCCACGUACUGAGAAGUGGAGAUCGUGUUAGAUCGUGGGUGAAUAGAUAAGUAUUUCAUGGGAUGCGGAACGGUUUGAGCGGCAAAGCCGAAAAUUUGGAUAAGAUAAGUUAAAAGUUCCGUUCGCAAAUUCUUCAGCUGACAAGGACACAGUGAAGAUUUUGAACGAGUUUCAAAUAGAACGCACAUGAAGAAUUUGUGAAUAGAUUGGGUUGAGUAUAGCAUAGAGGGCGAAGGGUCCGAUCACAUUCACUUAGCAGGAAAACCAACUUGAAGAGUUAGCCAUAAGUGAAUGUUGCAGAGUAUAUAUAUAUAUAUAUAGCCAAUGAAGAAAAACGACGGAAACAGUGAAGACAAUGCAAAGUUGAAGAAAAUGAACAACUGAGGAAAGACUUGAAUUGAAGAUUUUCAACUUUUGGUGGUGGCGUGACCCACCGUAUAAGAAUGAUGAUUUUAGACACCGCGUACAAUUGUCGUAGGGUUCUGAGAAUCAAAUUCUUCGUUAAUUUCUUCACACUUAGAGUGUUAUUCUUCAUUGAUUGAAGAAAAACGUUUCUUCAUGUGUUGCGCAUCUAAGUCAUCAAUUUUGCAUAAGUGUUAGGAUGAGUGUCCUUUUCAAAGAACAUUCGAAGAUUCUAAGAUAUUUAGCUCACACUGCAACUUGCUAAAUCUCUUCUCAUCCAAGGGCUUUGUGAAGAUAUCGGCUAGCUGUUCUUCAGUCUUCACAUGCUCAAUAGAAAUGUCACCCUUCAACACAUGAUCAAGAAGAAAAUGAUGACGAAUCUGAAUGUGCUUUGUCUUCGAGUGCUGAACUGGGUUGUGAGAAAUCUUGAUGGCACUCUCAUUGUCACAGUAGAGAGGCACAUUCUUCAUGUUGACGCCGUAGUCCUUGAGAGUUUGCUUCAUCCACAGCAAUUGAGCACAGCAAGAACCAGCAGCAAUGUACUCAGCUUCAGCAGUAGACAGUGAUACGCAGUUUUGUUUCUUUGAGGACCAACAGACCAAAGAUCGUCCGAGGAAAUGACAUGUACUAGAUGUUGUCUUGCGGUCCACACGAUCACCAGCAUAGUCAGAGCCAGAAUAUCCAAUGAGAUCAAAAGCCGAGCCCUUGGGGUACCAUAAUCCAUGUGUUGGUUUGUGAGCUAGAUAUUGAAGAAUAUGCUUCACAGCCUUAUGGUGUGAUUCCUUCGGUGUAGCUUGAAAUCGGGCACACAUGCAAACACUAAGCAUAAUAUCUGGCCUAGAUGCACAUAAAUACAAUAAAGAACCAAUCAUGGAGCGGUAUACCUUUUGAUCGAAGUCAAUACCAUUUUCAUCAGUGCACAGAUGGCCAUUUGUGGGCAUCAGAAUUUUGACGCCUUUGCAAUCUUGCAUGCCGAAUUUCCUCAGUACAUCCUUGAGGUAUUUCUCCUCAGAUAUGAAUAUGCCAUUGCGCUGUUGACGAAUUUGAAGACCUAAGAAGAAUUUUGAUUCUCCCAUCAUAGACAUUUGAUAUUCUUCACUCAUCAUAUAGGAAAAUUCAUCACUAUAAUGUUGGUCAGUACAGCCAAAGAUAAUAUCAUCAACAUAUAUUUGGCACACAUACAAUUCACCAUCAUAAGAUUUAGUGAAAAGAGUAGGGUCGAGUGAACCGGGUUUGAAGCCUUUCUUCAUGAGGAAUUCCUUCAAAGUAUCAUACCAUGCCCGAGGGGCCUGCUUGAGGCCAUAGAGGGCCUUAUUGAGUCUGAAGACUUUGUCAGGAUGCUUUGGAUCUUCAAAACCUGGGGGUUGAGCAACAUAUACUUCUUCCUCAAGCUUACCAUUAAGGAAUGCACUUUUCACAUCCAUUUGAUAUAAAGUGAUAUCAUGAUGGUUAGCAUAAGCAAGUAAUAUGCAAAUAGCUUCAAGUCUAGCAACAGGUGCAAAAGUUUCAUCGAAAUCAAUUCCUUCAACCUGUGUGUAGCCUUGAGCUACAAGCCGUGCCUUAUUCCUCACCACAAGGACAUUUUCAUCUUGCUUGUUGCGGUAGAUCCACUUUGUGCCAAUGAUAUUGUGCUUGCGAGGAUCUGGACGUUUAACCAGUUCCCAGACGUUGUUGAGCUCGAAUUGAUGUAAUUCUUCUUGCAUGGCCUGAAUCCACUCAGGCUCCAGAAAUGCUUCAUCUACCUUAGUGGGCUCUGUGAUAGAGACAAAAGCAUAGUGCCCACAAAAGUUAGAUAAAUGUGAAGCUUUUGAGCGUGUGAGAGGACCUGGUGUGUCAUCGAUGAUCUUUUCAACUUGCACUUCUUUUGCAACACGAGGAUGAGCUGGUUGUCGUCGAGGAAUUUGAUAAGCAUUUUCUUCAGCACCAUUUUCUUCAGCAUUUUCUUCAGGUGCAUUAGCUCGACGUUCUUCACGUUCUGGAAUGAAUUCUUCAGCAGAUUCUUCGGUAGGAAUGACCUCUGUAGCCUUGAACUUGAUAGUUUCCUCAGGUGCUGGUUCAUCUAUCACAGAGGGUAGGUGCUCUCUUUGCGAGCCAUUAGUUUCAUCGAACCGCACAUCUACAGUUUCAACAACCUUGUGAAGAACGUUGUUGAAGACUCUGUAGGUGUGCGAGUCCUUUCCGUAACCAAGCAUAAAACCUUCAUGUGCUUUUGGUGCAAAUUUAGCAUUGUGAUGAGGAUCUCUAAUCCAACAUUUAGCACUGAAGACUUUGAAAUAACUCACAUUGGGUUUCUUGUCAGUGAGGAGUUCAUAGGCAGUCUUCUUGAAGAAUUUGUGAAGAUAUACCCUGUUGAUGAUGUGGCACGCAGUAUAAAUUGCCUCAAUCCAGAAGUGACGAGGCGUCUUGGACUCAUCAAGCAUAGUGCGAGCCAUCUCAAUAAGAGUUCUGUUCUUGCGCUCCACGACGCCAUUCUGCUGAGGAGUGUAAGGAGCAGAUAACUCAUGAGUAAUACCAAGUUCAUCAAGAUAGUCAUCAAGACCAGAAUUCUUGAACUCAGUUCCAUUGUCACUUCUGAUGUGCUUGAUUUUCACACCGAAGUUGGUUGAAGCCCUCGAGGAAAAUCGUUUGAAGACUUCCUGCACUUCAUGUUUGUAAGUGACAAUAUGUACCCAAGUGUAACGAGAGUGAUCAUCAACAAUAACAAAGCCAUAGAGAGAUGCAUCAUUUGUGACUGCUGAGUAAUGGUUAGGACCGAAGAGAUCCAUAUGAAGCAAUUCAAAUGGUCGAGUAGUGGUGAUGAUAGUCUUUGCUGGAUGCUUAGCCUUGGUCAUCUUUCCAGCUUCACAGGCUCCGCAUAAGUGAUCCUUGAGGAAUUUGACAUUCUCAAUGCCAAUGGCAUGCUUCUUCUUUGCAAGCGUGUGCAAAUUCCUCAUGUCUGCAUGACCAAGUCGUCGAUGCCAUAGCCAGCCUUCUGAAGCUUUUGCAAGUAGGCACACGGCUGGUUGCGGUCCUAUAGAUAAAUCAACAAUAUACAAGUCUCCUCUCCUAAAGCCUUCGAAGACUUUGGAAUUGUCAGCUUCCAUAACCACAACACAACGAUACUUGUCAAAGACAACAACCAUAUCAAGAUCACAAAGCAUUGAGACAUACAUGAGGUUGUAUCCUAAGGACUCGACAAGCAUGACUUUGUCCAUGUGUCGAUCCUUUGUGAUCGCAACCUUACCUAGACCCAAUACCUGACUUUUGCCUUUGUCAGCGAAGAUGAUAUGCUUCAGAUGCGAUGGUGAUAAGGGAGCAUCCAUCAAUAGAUUCUUGUCACCAGUCAUGUGAUUUGUACAUCCACUAUCGAGGACCCACUCAGUGGCUUUGGGUUGAUCAUCCUGUAGAUGAAUUAGUGCAGCUUACGAACUUCAUAUACUUCAUCAGUGAAGAAUAUGACAUCACAAUUCAUCAGGCCAAUUUCAUCAAGCAAUGCAACAGUUAAAACAGUAUGAGGACGUGAGAAAUGAAAGUUCAUUUCUUCAUGAUUAGCCUGCGUCCUUUCAGGCACUUUUCACGUCUCCAACAAAUUCUUCAGACGUUUGAGCACGUCUGGAGACCUGACCCUGCAUAAGAGAUUAGUCCUUUUUCUUCACCACCCACAUCUGAAGGGGUGGCAAAGAGUUCAUCACUCUGCGAGCUCCAUACGAGAAAGGUGGCAUAGAAGCCAAUCCAUUUCGUUUCACAUAAGAGGAGUUAGGGUAAGCAUAUGAAUAAGCAGAGAAAUUCUUCGAGGACUUAUGAACAUAAUGAUUAGAAGAAUAAUGCUCAUAUUCAUAGCCCUUAGCUCUUCCCUGCGAAACAGAGUUGUUAGCACGAUGAUGUUCAUAUGAGGACUUUGAUCCUUUUGAGGAAUAUGAUCCACGUGAGGAAUUCGAUCCGUAUGAGGACUUGGAUCCAAAUGAAGAAUUUGGUCCACAUGAAGAAUUUGAUCUGGGGUUCCUAUUCUUCACAGGUGGUGUCAUGAGGACAUUCACCUGAAGACUUUCAAGGCACCUUUUGGGAACCCAGAUUUUCUUCAUAGGAGAACCGUUCCUACAGUUAGUGCCAACAUAUCUAGCAAAUACUUCACCAUUCUGAUUUUUAAACAGUUUAUAGUUGGAGUCAAAUGACUCAUCAGAAGAAUGAGAAGAUUCACAUGUAAAGCCAGAUAAAUUAGAUGGAUCAACUGGAGGUCCCUUUGCAGCAACCCAUGAGGUUUUGGGGUACUGCUCAGGCUUCCAAUAUGUACCAUCAGCAUUGAGUUUCCUCUCAAAGGCAAUACCCUCUUUCCUAGGGUUCCUGUUGAGGAUCUGCUUUUUAAGCACAUCACAAAGAGUCUGAUGCCCUUUGAGGCUUUUGUACAUGCCUGUCAUGUACAAUUCCUUCAGCCCUGCAUCAUCAGUGAUACUAGCAAUGUCCUCAGAUGAGGAAUUAGUGAUAGCAGAGACAGUUGAAGAAUUUGUAGCAUUAGAAGCAUUUGAACAUUCAGGUGAAGAUUUAGCAGAUUCACGUUCAAUGCAUUUCAAACAUGGAGGAACAAAUUCUUCCUGAGCAGCGCUGAUUUGUUGAGCAAGUAAUGAAUCGCGCUCCUUCUGAAGAUCUUCAUAACUCACUCUUAGCUUCUCAAGAUCUUGCUUUCUUUGAAGAAAUUCAUAAGAAAGCUUCUCAUGAUCAGAUAAGAGAGUGUUAUGAUGACCUUGAAGGUUGUCAAAUCUAGACUGAAAUCUCUGAAGAUUUUCAGUCAAGGUUUUAGUGCGAUCCAUUUCUUCACCCAACAUAUCAUCACUUUUUAUCUAGCAUGUUUUGAAACUUUUCCAAGGCCUUUUGUUGUUUAGUGGCAAUACAAACAAGCUUGGUAUAGCUAGGUCCAAAAUCAUCAUCGGAUUCAUCAUCACUAGACUCGGAUGAGGAACAUUCGGUUACCUUGGCACCUUUUGCCAUGAGGCAUGGUGGAGAAGAUGAUAGUUCAGGUUCGAAAGUCAUCGUUUUGAGUGAUUCCUUGAAAUCCUCAAACCAGGGAUCAUGACAAGUUCGAUGACCUUCAUAGACGUCAGAGAUUCGGUCCCAGAUAAGCUUCACAUUGCAAAGAUGCAUAAUGCGCCUGAAUUCAUCUCUGGAUAGGCAGGAACAGAUGAUAUCCUUCGCCAUGAUGUCAAGUCGAGUGUACUUGCGAAUAUCAUCAGUGUCCGCCAUCUUGCAUAGAUCGGUAAGACCAAUCUCAGUGACGGUCCACAGCUCGCUGUUCAGUGCCAUGAGGCGCUUGCUCAUCAUGGCCUUCCACUUGGGAUAAUCAUGACCGUCAAAGAUGGGGCAUGUCACUUUCUUCAUACCUGCGGUCGACAUAACUAAAACUCCAGGCGGUUAAACCAAAAUCACACAGAACAAGGGAGUACCUUGCUAUGAUACCAAUUGAAAGUGCAUUAUAUCGAGUAGAGGGGGGGUGAAUAGGUGAUUUUUAUGAAUUCUUCACUGAGGAAUUUGCGGGUGAGGAAUUCCUUAGCGAAGAACUACUUGCAGCGGAAUAAGUACUCAAGAGUAAGCAUAGCAGAACAUAGGCAUGGUCAUCAUGAUGAAAUGAAGACAAACACAGAGUACAGAAAGCGUAAACACAGGAUAGCACAGGAUGAAGACAAACAGACUGAAGAAAUUGAACUGAGGAAAUUGAGAAAGUCUUCUGUCAAAGUCUUCAAACACAGAUAUGACAAGCACACAACACAGUAAUGAGGAAAUGAAAGAGUUGAGGAAAUAGAACCAGUAAGCUUGGUGAAGACAAUGAUUUGGUAGACCAGUUCCAACUACUGUCUCAGCUGUACAUCUGGUUGGAGCGGCUAGGUAUUUAAACCUGAGGACACACAGUCCCGGACACACAGUCCUCACUGUAUUCUCCUUGAACUAAGGUCACACAGACCUUGUCCAAUCACUCGUGGUAAGUCUUCAGGUGACUUCCGAACCUUCACAAACUCGGUCACUCGGCGAUCCACAAUUCCUCUUGGAUGCUCUAGACCAUGACGCCUAACCGUCUGGAAGAAGCACAGUCUUCAAAGAUAACAAGCGUCGGAUCCACGCAGGAUCAAUUUCUUCAGUGAUGCUCAAUCACUUUGGGUUUGUAGGUGUUUGGGUUUGGGUUUUCCUCACUUGAUGAUUUUCGCUCAAAGUCCUCGGAGGAUGGGAUGCUCUCAAAUGACAAAUGUCAGUUUCUCUCGGAGCAGCCAACCAGCUAGUGGUUGUACGGGGCGACUAUUUAUAGCCUAGGGAGCAGCCCGACAUGAUAAGACAUAAAUGCCCUUCAAUGAUAUGACCGUUAGGUGGGUAGAUAUUUUGGGACAGCUGGCGCAUAGCACAGCAAUGGUAGGAAAUUUCAGUAUCAAAUUCCUCAGGGCUAUCAUGUUCCUCACUGUGUAGGCAAUCCGCACUGGCGAAUUCCUAACUCCUCAGUCAGAACAAAUUCCUCAGAGACCAGAAGAACUUCGUCUCUGUAACUGAAGAAUAUGACUGAACUGUAUGAGAUUUCCAAUGGCUUCACUCGAAGGGAUUGGUAGGUGUAGGAUUUUGAGUUGAGCAUCAUAUGGAAAUUUUUCCUUAGUAUUUCCUCGACCCCCUUUAACAGUACGGUGUUUCCAAUGACUCAAGAAAGAGAAAAUGAAACUACGAAAACAAAAGUCUGCACGGUUCAUAUUCCUCAAAUGAAUACCAAGUCUUCAAGGUCACACCAAUUUCUUCACUUUCAAAGUCUUCAGAAAGUCUUCAGAAAUCCAUAGUCUCUAGUCGAAGAACUUCAUUUUUAGGGGUCGACUUUCUCUGUAAAUAUCAAACUCCUCAUAGACUUAUAGACCUGUGUACACUCAUAAACACAUUAAUCCCUUAACCUAUAAGUCUUCAAUACACCAAAAUCACUAAGGGGCACUAGAUGCACUUACAUCUAUCUUAGGGUAACGAGAGUCGAGGCGAACGUUGUCGCGAUAGCGACUACGGAAGCCCAGACGAGCACGCGACACCACUGCCACCCUGUCUUAGGGUAAUGCAAGUCGAGGCGGACGUCGUCGCAUUAGCGAUGCCGGGACACCGAGAUGAGCACGUGGCACCAAGGCCACCCUGUCUAUCUUACGGUAACGCGAGUCGAGGCGGACGUCGUCGUGGUAGCGACGACGGACGCCGCGACUAGCAUGUGACACCACUGCCACCCUUUCUAUCUGAGGGAAACGCGAGUCGACGUGGACGUCGUCGCGGUAGUGACAACGGACGCCGAGACGAGCACGUGACACCAUUGCCACCCUGUCUAUCUUAGGGUAACACUAGUCGAGGGGACGUCGCCGCGGUAGCGGCGACGGACGCCGAGACGAGCACGUGAUACCACUACCACCCUGUCUGUCUUAGGGUAAUGCGAGUCAAGGGGGACGUCGUUGCGGUAGCUACGACAGACGCCAAGACGAGCACGUGACACCACUGUCACCCUGUGUAUCUUAGGGUAACGCGGGUCGAGGCGGACAUCGUCGUGGUAGCGACGACGCAUGUCAAGACGAGCACGUGACACCAGUUCCACCCUGUCUUAGGGUAACGCAAGAGUCGAGGUGGAUGUCGUCGCGCUAGCGACGACGGACGCCGAGACGAGGACAUGAUGCCAGGACCACCCUGUCUAUAUUAGGGUAACGCGAGUCGAGGCAGACAUCGUCGCGGCAGUGACGACAGACGACGAGACGAGCACGUGACACCACAGCCAUCCUGUCUAUCUUAAGGUAACGCGAGUCGAGGCGGACGUCGUCGCGGUAGCGACGACGGACGCCGAGACCAGCACGUGACCCCACUACCAACAUGUCUAUAUUAGGGCAACGCGACUCGACACGGACGUCGUCUCGGUAGCGACGACGGACGCCGAGGCAAGCACGUGACACCACUGCCACCCUGCCUAUCUUAGGGUAACGCGAGUCGUGGCGGAUGUCGUCGUGGUAGCGACGACGGACACCGAGACUAGCACGUGACACCACUGCCACCCUGUCUUAGGGUAACGCGAGUCGAUGCGGAUGUCGUCGCGGUAGCAACGAUGGACGCCUAGACGAGCAUGUGACACCACUGCCACCCUCUCUUAGGGUAACGCGAGUAGAGGCGGAGGUCGUCGCGGAAGCAGCGACGGACGCGGAGGCGAGAACGUGACACCACUGCCACCCUGUCUUAGCGGAACGCGAGUCGAGGCGAACGUCGUCGCGAUAGCGACGACAGACGCCAAGACGAGCACGUGACACCACUGCCACCCUGUCUUAGGGUAACACGAGUCGAGGCGGACGUCGUCGCGUUAGCAACGAAGGACGCCGUGACGAGCACGUGACACCAGGGCCACCCUGUCUAUCUUAGGGUAACGGGAGUCGAUGCAGAAGUCGUCGCCGUAGCGAUGACGGACGCUGAGACGAGCACGUGACACCACUACCACCCUAUCUAUCAUCGGGUAACGCGAGUCGAGGCAAACGUCGUCGCGGUAGCGACGACAGACGCCAAGACGAGCACUUGACACCCUGGCCACCCUGUCUAUCUUAGUGUAACGCGAGUCGAGGCGAACGUCAUCGCAGUAGCGAGGACGGACGCCGAGACGAGCACGUGACACUACUGCCACCCUCUCUUAAAAGUCGAGGCGGACGUCGUCUAGCUUGUCACGUCAAAUUGACACAAAAAAUGUUCAUUUAAAAAAAAAUAUCAGAUAUUUCGGAAAAUGUUCUUGUUUUUAAGGAAAUUUCAGGAAUUCAAAAGUUGUUUAGUUCUAUAAAUAUGUUCUUGAUUUGAAUUUUUCUCAUUAAUUUUAAAAUAUGUUCAUAGUAGAUCAAUUUAAUGAACAUUUCGAUUCAACCAAAAAGAUGUAGAUCAAUUUAAUUCAGCAUGUUAAUUUUUGUUUAAUAAAAUUAUGUUCAUGGAAAGUAUUAAUCGAAAGGGAAUAGAGGAAUAGGCGAAUUUAUUUUUUUUCUGUGUAAAAGUAGCUAUUCAUUUUAGUUGAAAGUGCUAGUUCAUUUCAAUUAAAAGUGGGAUUUCCGGCCCAUUAGUGUCCGUGAAAAACUGCUGGCCCAGAAAGGGAAUAGGAAAACACAGGCCCAAAAGGAAAAAACGUGGAAAGGGAAUAGAGGCUAGGUGAGGUAUUGGGCCAAGGCUGGGCCGAACUCACAAAAAGUGGAGCUCUCAAGGCCGGAAUUGAUCACGAAAGGGAAUAGAAUGGGCGCAACCGUUCGCUAACUUUGUCGUUUGUUGUCGCAUCGAUCUGGUGCGAAAUGAGAGCUCCUAUGUGUCGCAUUUUACGGCAAAUUGCCACCAUAUCGCACAGGGGCGCCACCGAGUGGGCCGGCCCAUUAGCAGCACUGCAGCGAGCCAAUAAACGCACUGUAGCUAAAAACUGAGCGGCAUCGACCUCGCGACCUCUGGCUAUUGAAUGACUCUCGCUAGCCACUUGAGCUGAUGGCCCGUUGGUUAUUGUUAUACACCGCGAAAUACUAAAAGCACUACUCGGAGGAGCUGAUCAAACUUGUACUGUAGCGACCGGACUGUGUACUGUUACGACAUGAACAAGGCAAGGUAGAGUUUUUUUUAGAAGCUCCAAAUCUUUCUUUGAAAAACGUGAACAUUUUUUCAAAACACAAAUAAAACUUCAAAUUUCAAACAUUUUUCAAAACAGAUAAAAAAAGUAGAAACCACAAAAGUAUUUUGAAUUUGUGAACAUUUCUCCGAGAAAGGGAACAUUUUUUAAAUUCCGAACAAAUUUUGAAAGCCUGAACAUUAUUUGAAACUCCCCGAACAAUUUUUGAAUUUGUGAACAAAUUUUGAAAACGAGAACAUUUUUUGAAAUUGUGAACAAAAUUUUGAAACCACAAACAUUUUUUGAAAUUGGAAGCAAUUUUAGAAUUUGUGACUUUUUUUCAAAAUGAGAACUUUUUUGAAAUUCUGAAUUAUAUUUCAAAUUUUCAAAAAAGUUUCAAUAGAAAAAUAAACUUAAAAAAGAAAAAGAGAAAAAUGAAAAAGAAAACAAAACAAUAUUCAAAAAUUCAUGAACGUUGUUUUGAAAAUAUUUAGAAAAGAAGCGAACAAUUUUUGAAAUUUCUGAACAAAAUUUGAAAACAGGAACAUUUAAAAAAAAUAAGGAUCAUGUUUUGAAAUUCCCAAACAAUUUUGAAAUGCAAACAUUUUUUGAAUGUAGAAACAAAAUUUGAAAACAGGAACAUUUUCCAAAAUUUGAACUUUGUUUAGGAACCUGAAUAUUUCUAGAAAAAGAAAAAUGAAAUUGAAUAAAAAGGAAACGGAAAAAGAAAAAAAGAAAAAGAAAAACCUGACCACAAAGAAAUAGAAAAACGAAAAGAAAAGAAAAAACCGUAGAAAAGAAAAAAACCCGGUUCAGGAAACCUUCUGGAAGGUUCCCAAAGACGGAUUGGGUAGUGCCAAUACGAUCUACUCAAAUGGGCCGGCCCCGUCGUGUCGAUCGGCCGAUCGCCUGUGCGUUGCCCCGGCAACUUGCCGCAACGAGCGACAAACAGGAAAUUCCGUGCGAAAAAUCGAGUGCGCCUCUUAGGACGCGCGCUAGCGACGCCGCAUUGGAGUUCUCUCUAUACGUAUACUUGCUAGCGUUGAUCAAGCACGGAAAUAAGCGAGCUCACUUCUCUCUAUUAGCUAGCUAACACAAUAUAUGAAACCCCCUCUCCCUUCUUUCAAAACAAAAACAAAACCCCUGCUCCUGCCAGCUGCUGACGCGUGGAUGCCUUUUGGUACCGGUUGGUGUUACCAACCGGGACAAAAGGUGCUCCAGCCUAGGCACCUCGCAGCGGCCACGUGGAGCCCCUUGCGAAUCGGGACUAAAGGUUUUGGGCUUUAGUCCCAACCCUUUAGUCCCGGUUCCAGAACCGGGGUAAGGGGCCUCUGAAACCGGGACAAAUGGGCCGGUUUCUAUGAGUCGAAGCUCCAUCCUCCUUUCUAGUCCUCUGUUCCUUUUGUCAUAUCAGCUUUCAUCCAUCUCCCAUACUGUUGCACCUCACCUCUCCCAAGUCCAAUAGAACACGCCUUGUCCACGUGUCCAAUUAUACCACACGUGUAACAAAAAUCAGGGAGGUACUCAUACUCUAGGGGGCACCAUUUUUGCUCAUCAUCUUUCUUCUUUCUUUUAUCCACGUCCAUCACUUCUGCAGACUCCUUGUCUUCUCCCGUUCAAUAUCCAAAGUGAUUCCUCUCAACAGUGGCUUUGUAAUGUCUAGUCUAACUUUCAGAACUUCCAGCCACAUUAUCAUCAUCCCCCUGGUUACCUCCAUGAACUCGCCAGUCUCGUCACCAAUGAUACCUCCGUUUUCAUCACUCAUGAAACCGAGCGGCAUCUUGGUCACCCUGACCCAAAUAAGGAUGAUAGUGAACUCAUACUCUCCUAGCGUUUUAGCUGGGUCGAAAUCUACCAUCACAAUCAGGUCCUUUCCCACCAUCCAUGGCCCUUCCUCCAAUGCUUUCCUCUUCCCCGCUGCUUGCAAGAAGGUGAAAAGAAAGGUGUUGUCCUCUAACCCCUUGCACUUGAUUCCCUUGAUCGGACACCACACUCUUCCGAGGUAUUUGAUCAUACCUUCCACAUAUACUGGUUUCUCGGACAUAACCUUACCGAUCGCCUGUGGAUCUUCCGUUCCCGUUCUCCUCAACCCGCCUCUUCCGAUCUUGACUCCCUUCUUCUCUGCUUCUGGCAACCGCAACUUCUGCAUCAAACCUUCCACUUUCUCCAUUGUGUCGAGGACUUGCAUCGAUCUAUGGUUUACUAGGUGGUUGUAUUAUGAAUGAAUGCCCUAGCAACACUCGUAAGGCUUUUGGUGGAUGGGUGAGCGGUCUCGAGAUCAAUCCAGCAAGGAUCGCCAAGGCUAGGGGGAGAGUUUGCUGGCGUAGGCCAGAGACGGGGUCGCCUGAGGGGACUCUAGGGUUUACCAGGAGUCACCGCAGAAUCCCCUGGGAAUCGCCCAAGCGCCAAUCGUGGAACCGUCACCCAAGGACGGACGGGUUAAGGAUGAUAAUUAAAGCGGACUUUGAUAGAGAGACACGUGAGAAAUAGAGUGAUAGAGAGAGAUACGUGAAAAUUAAAGCGGUUUUAAUUUCUUUCUUUUCUGUAAUUAAAGAGAUACGCAUGAGAAAUAGAGAGAUAAGAGAGAUACGUGAGAAUUAAAGCUGUUUUAAUUUUUUCCGUUUCUAUAAUUAAAGAUCUGAUCUACACAGUUAUAAUCUUGACCCGCAAAAUCAACGGCCUCCAUUUUCUAUUUUUCUCUAAUUAAUGUGGGAAUUUCUUGGGAGUGCCUAUUAGUAUAGGUAUAUAUAUGUGCAAAAAAUCUCGACAUUAAUGAACAUAUAUCUGGUGCACUUGCAAUCUUUUGUAGUACAUUAAUGAAUAUUUAAAGUAUUUUCCAACUCUUGCUAUUUAUAGACUUGUCAUCCGUGUCUGCCACAUUUGGAGUCCAACUAUUUCCUACUGGAACCUUACACUCCACUAGAACUGAGUUUGUCAAGUAACAGAUAACCAAUAUGAGAGGGAGCAGCCUAGUGCAGGGGACGAUGAUAUUCUUCAUUGGAUGCCUUGUGCUUUGUGCACAGUGUAAGUAUAUAUCAUCAUCGUCUUUAGAAUCUUGUGUUAACUUCUUGCCACUAAUUCUUCGGAUCAGACAUACAUACACACACACAUCUGCGGUACUGCAUACUAAGGUUAAAUAUACUAUACAGGUGCUCUCGAUAAUAAGCAAAGGAUGGUCAACCAAGAUGAUCAUGCGGCGAACACAAGUACCAACGCUACCAUCAUCAACUCAACAUCUGUAGGCGAGAGCAAGAAAACCGAGAAAUUUUGCAGCCUCUUUCUCGUAUGUUAUUUCAACAUUGAGAUUCGUGCUGAGUGCUACUGUUGCGAGAAUAAGAAUGCCGACUGUUACAAGACGAAGAGUGAGUGCCUGCAGAAGUGCCAUUCCUACAACGGUUAAUGCCCACCUUCAUCGCGGUCUCUGGGAUAGAAUUCCAUAUGCUCGGAAAAUUUGUCCGUAGGUAAUAAAAGGCACCUUAUAUGGUUUGGGCAAUUAGGUCCCAAUUAAACAUUAGAUAGCCGGCAUGUUUCCGUGGAGAUCCAACAAGGAAAAAUUUGAUGAAAGAAAUCCGAGUAACUAGUUGUCUUGCAUAUUUACAAAGUUCAAAUCCUUUGGUUGUUGUGCUUUGACUCGAUUGUCUAUUAUGCCAUUUCAUUUACUUGCACAUUGCCCACUUGUUCAUUUAACACACAUCACCCACUUGGUGAUUUGCCAGUUGUGGGCUGACAGCCAUAUAGAUUUAUUUUUUUGAGAUCUCGUCAUAUAGAAUUGUAAUAGCACUGACAUGGAAAAGGUUAAAAACUGAAAAACUGAAAAAAGUAAAUCAAACAAACAAAUGGUGUGCAAACUAAAUCAGACGGCACAAGACAAGUGAGAUUUAGUCAGGACUCUUUCAGAUGAAGAUAAGCAAAUUGCAAGAAAACAACAUGCAGAAACAAUUUUAUAUCAUAGCAUAACAUGCAAAAAAGCACAUAUAUAGUACAACGACAACCCACGUGUCUAUAUGCUAUCUAUAUGUAUAUCUAUCUAUCUAUAUCUAUCUAUCUAUCUAUCUAUCUAUCCUUACUAAUAAAAGACGGAUCAUUUAUGCCCAUCCGUCUCAUGUUUUGCAACAAAAUACCCUACUUUUUUCUUUAAUUAACCCGCGGUCAAGGUUUAGGUGAGGUUCGUCCGUUGUUUUUUUUGCAAAGAACGAGGAAACGGUUGCGUUUUGUGAGAUUCAAACUCAUGAUGUCCCCUCCAUGCCCAAAAGCCACAGCCAACUGAGUUAGCAUGCACUUGUGCUACCAAAUAGGUCCAUUAUUUCAUUAAAUUGUCCAUCCUUGAUUCUUUGCAUGAGAAUACACAAAUUUAUAUGUGAUUGCAAAUUGCCUGGAAAUCAACAAGCCAACUCGAUAACCAAGAAAUAGAGGGAGAGGAGGAAUUCACUCAAUAAAUAGUGUUAACUAGCAGGGUUUCCCGCGCAUUUGUGCGGCUAGCUGACCCUUUCCGAUGCCAACUAUAUGGCCUUUCACUAAACUAUAUUUUGAUUAAAUUUACACCUUGUAUAUGUCAUCAUAGAAAAAAUGAAAAUCGUAAUGAAACAUGCAAGUGCAUCAGGUUGUUCAUUUUAAUAUAGAAGUGCAUUAGGUUUUUAAAUAAAUUCCUUGGCAUGUCAGGUUGCAACACAGAUAAAAAACCAUGUAUGGGAUUUCAUGCCAAUCUUGGUGUUUUUCCUGUGUGAUCACUCCUCCUUUGUAUCAUUUAAUAGGUUUUCAAGAAAUUCCCUACCAAGACUUAAAUCUAAACAUGAAAUUCUGGUAUGUAAAGGUCCCUUCUUCUAGUCAUACCAAUCAACGGACGCAUUCUUAACUACCUUUUCUUGAUUAAUGCCGCCUACCCACUUAUGUAUCAAGAGAUUCACAUCUUCUAUCGUGCUUAUUUUUUCUAUUGAUAAUAUUUUACAAAAUAUUAUCUUUGACUCACUCCCUUUUAAUUUCUGAAGACUUUGAAAGUGAAGAAAUUGGUGUGACCUUGAAGACUUGGUAUUCAUUCGAGGAACAUGAAGCGUGAAGACUUUUGUUUUAGUAGUUUCAUUUUCUCUUUCUUGAGUCAUAGGAAACACUGUACUGUUAAAGGGGGUCGAGUAAAUACUAAGGAAAAAUUUCCAAGUGAUGCUCAACUUAAAAUCCUACACCUACCAAUCCCUUCGAGUGAAGCCAUUGGAAAUCUCAUGCAGUUCAGUCAGUUUCUUCAGUGACAGAGACGAAGUACUUCUGGUCUCUGAGGAAUUUGUUCUGCCUAAGGAGUUAGGAAUUCGCCAGUGCGGAUUGCCUACAAGUGAGGAACAUGAUAGCCCUGAGGAAUUAGACACUCGAAAUUCCGACCGUUGCUGUGCUAUGCGCCAGCUGUCCCAAAAUAUCUUACCCACCUAACGGUCAUAUCAUUGAAGGGCAUUUAUGUCUUAUCAUGUAGGGCUGCUCCCUAGGCUAUAAAUAGCCGCCCCCUACAACGACUAUCUGGUUGGCUGCUCCGAGAGAAACCGACACUUGUCAUUUGAGAACAUCCCAUCCUCCGAGGACUUUAAGCGAAAAUCAUCAAGUGAGGAAAACCCAAACCCAAACACCUAAAAACCCAAAGUGAUUGAGCAUCACUAAAGAGAUUGAUCCUGCGUGGAUCCGACACUUGUUACCUUUGAAGAAUGUGCAUCUUCCAGAUGGUUAGGCGUCAUGGUCUAGAGCAUCCAAGAGGAAAUUGUUGAUCGCCGAGUGACCGAGUUUGUGAAGGUUUGGAAGUCACCUGAAGACUUACCACGAGUGAUUGGGCGAGGCUGUGUGACCGUAGCGAUGACGGACGCUGAGACGAGCACGUGACACCACUACCACCCUAUCUAUCAUCGGGUAACGCGAGUCGAGGCAAACGUCGUCGCGGUAGCGACGACAGACGCCAAGACGAGCACUUGACACCCUGGCCACCCUGUCUAUCUUAGUGUAACGCGAGUCGAGGCGAACGUCAUCGCAGUAGCGAGGACGAACGACGAGACGAGCACGUGACACUACUACCACCCUCUCUUAAAAGUCGAGGCGGACGUCGUCUAGCUUGUCACGUCAAAUUGACACAAAAAAUGUUCAUUUAAAAAAAAUAUCAGAUAUUUCGGAAAAUGUUCUUGUUUUAAAGGAAAUUUCAGGAAUUCAAAAGUUGUUUAGUUCUAUAAAUAUGUUCUUGAUUUGAAUUUUUCUCAUUAAUUUUAAAACAUGUUCAUAGUAGAUCAAUUUAAUGAACAUUUCGAUUCAACCAAAAAGAUGUAGAUCAAUUUAAUUCAGCAUGUUAAUUUUUGUUUAAUAAAAUUAUGUUCAUGGAAAGUAUUAAUCGAAAGGGAAUAGAGGAAUAGGCGAAUUUAUUUUUUUCUGUGUAAAAGUAGCUAUUCAUUUUAGUUGAAAGUGCUAGUUCAUUUCAAUUAAAAGUGGGAUUUCCGGCCCAUUAGUGUCCGUGAAAAACCGCUGGCCCAGAAAGGGAAUAGGAAAACACAGGCCCAAAAGGAAAAAACGUGGAAAGGGAAUAGAGGCUAGGUGAGGUAUUGGGCCAAGGCUGGGCCGAACUCACAAAAAGUGGAGCUCUCAAGGCCGGAAUUGAUCACGAAAGGGAAUAGAAUGGGCGCAACCGUUCGCUAACUUUGUGGUUUGCUGUCGCAUCGAUCUGGUGCGAAAUGAGAGCUCCUAUGUGUCGCAUUUUACGGCAAAUUGCCACCAUAUCGCACAGGGGCGCCACCGAGUGGGCCGGCCCAUUAGCAGCACUGCAGCGAGCCAAUAAACGCACUGUAGCUAAAAACUGAGCGCCCCCGUGGAGGCAUCGACCUCGCGACCUCUGGCUAUUGAAUGACUCUCGCUAGCCACUUGAGCUGAUGGCCCGUUGGUUAUUGUUAUACACCGCGAAAUACUAAAAGCACUACUCGGAGGAGCUGAUCAAACAUGUACUGUAGCGACCGGACUGUGUACUGUUACGACAUGAACAAGGCAAGGUAGAGUUUUUUUUAGAAGCUCCAAAUCUUUCUUUGAAAAACGUGAACAUUUUUUAAAAACACAAAUAAAAAUUCAAAUUUCAAACAUUUUUCAAAACAGAUAAAAAAAGUAGAAACCACAAAAGUAUUUUGAAUUUGUGAACAUUUCUCCGAGAAAGGGAACAUUUUUUAAAUUCCGAACAAAUUUUGAAAGCCUGAACAUUAUUUGAAACUCCCCGAACAAUUUUUGAAUUUGUGAACAAAUUUUGAAAACGAGAACAUUUUUUGAAAUUGUGAACAAAAUUUUGAAACCACAAACAUUUUUUGAAAUUGGAAGCAAUUUUGGAAUUUGUGACUUUUUUUCAAAAUGAGAACUUUUUUGAAAUUCUGAAUUAUAUUUGAAAUUUUCAAAAAAGUUCGAAUAGAAAAAUAAACUUAAAAAAGAAAAAGAGAAAAAUGAAAAAGAAAACAAAACAAUAUUCAAAAAUUCAUGAACGUUGUUUUGAAAAUAUUUAGAAAAGAAGCGAACAAUUUUUGAAAUUUCUGAACAAAAUUUGAAAACAGGAACAUUUAAAAAAAAUAAGGAUCAUGUUUUGAAAUUCCCAAACAAUUUUAAAAUGCAAACAUUUUUUGAAUGUAGAAACAAAAUUUGAAAACAGGAACAUUUUCCAAAAUUUGAACUUUGUUUAGGAACCUGAAUAUUUCUAGAAAAAGAAAAAUGAAAUUGAAUAAAAAGGAAACGGAAAAAGAAAAACCUGACCACAAAGAAAUAGAAAAACGAAAAGAAAAGAAAAAACCGUAUAAAAGAAAAAAAAACCCGGUUCAGGAAACCUUCUGGAAGGUUCCCAAAGCCGGAUGGGGUAGUGCCAAUACGAUCUACUCAAAUGGGCCGGCCUAGUCGUGUCGAUCGGCCGAUCGCCUGUGCGUUGCCCCGGCAACUUGCCGCAACGAGCGACAAACAAGAAAUUCCGUGCGAAAAAUCAAGUGCGCCUCUUAGGACGCGCGCUAGCGACGCCGCAUUGGAGUUCUCUCUAUACGUAUACUUGCUAGCGUUGAUCAAGCACGGAAAUAAGCGAGCUCACUUCUCUCUAUUAGCUAGCUAACACAAUAUAUGAAACCCCCUCUCCCUUCUUUCAAAAAAAAACAAAACCCCUGCUCCUGCCAGCUGCUGACGCGUGGAUGCCUUUUGGUACCGGUUGGUGUUACCAACCGGGACAAAAGGUGCUCCAGCCUAGGCACCUCGCAGCGGCCACGUGGAGCCCGUUGCGAAUCGGGACUAAAGGUUUUGGGCUUUAGUCCCAACCCUUUAGUCCCGGUUCCAGAACCGGGGCUAAGGGGCCUCUGAAACCGGGACAAAUGGGCCGGUUUCUAUGAGUCGAAGCUCCAUCCUCCUUUCUGGUCCUCUGUUCCUUUUCUCAUAUCAGCUUUCAUCCAUCUCCCAUACUGUUGCACCUCACCUCUCCCAAGUCCAAUAGAACACGCCUUGUUCACGUGUCCAAUUAUACCACACGUGUAACAAAAAUCAGGGAGGUACUCAUACUCUAGGGGGCACCAUUUUUGCUCAUCAUCUUUCUUCUUUCUUUUAUCCACGUCCAUCACUUCUGCAGACUCAUUGUCUUCUCCCGUUCAAUAUCCAAAGUGAUUCCUCUCAACAGUGGCUUUGUAAUGUCUAGUCUAACUUUCAGAACUUCCAGCCACAUUAUCAUCAUCCCCCUGGUUACCUCCAUGAACUCGCCAGUCUCGUCACCAAUGAUACCUCCGUUUUCAUCACUCAUGAAACCGAGCGGCAUCUUGGUCACCCUGACCCAAAUAAGGAUGAUAGUGAACUCAUACUCUCCUAGCGUUUUAGCUGGGUCGAAAUCUACCAUCACAAUCAGGUCCUUGCCCACCAUCCAUGGCCCUUCCUCCAAUGCUUUCCUCUUCCCCGCUGCUUGCAAGAAGGUGAAAAGAAAGGUGUUGUCCUCUAACCCCUUGCACUUGAUUCCCUUGAUCGGACACCACACUCUUCCGAGGGAUUUGAUCAUACCUUCCAUAUAUACUGGUUUCUCGGACAUAACCUUACCGAUCGCCUGUGGAUCUUCCGUUCCCGUUCUCCUCAACCCGCCUCUUCCGAUCUUGACUCCCUUCUUCUCUGCUUCUGGCAACCGCAACUUCUGCAUCAAACCUUCCACUUUCUCCAUUGUGUCGAGGACUUGCAUCGAUCUAUGGUUUACUAGGUGGUUGUAUUAUGAAUGAAUGCCCUAGCAACACUCGUAAGGCUUUUGGUGGAUGGGUGAGCGGUCUCGAGAUCAAUCCAGCAAGGAUCGCCGAGGCUAGGGGGAGAGUUUGCUGGCGUAGGCCAGAGACGGGGUCGCCUGAGGGGACUCUAGGGUUUACCAGGAGUCACCGCAGAAUCCCCUGGGAAUCGCCCAAGCGCCAAUCGUGGAACCGUCACCCAAGGACGGACGGGUUAAGGAUGAUAAUUAAAGCGGACUUUGAUAGAGAGACACGUGAGAAAUAGAGUGAUAGAGAGAGAUACGUGAAAAUUAAAGCGGUUUUAAUUUCUUUCUUUUCUGUAAUUAAAGAGAUACGCAUGAGAAAUAGAGAGAUAAGAGAGAUACGUGAGAAUUAAAGCUGUUUUAAUUUUUUCCGUUUCUAUAAUUAAAGAUCUGAUCUACACAGUUAUAAUCUUGACCCGCAAAAUCAACGGCCUCCAUUUUCUAUUUUUCUCUAAUUAAUGUGGGAAUUUCUUGGGAGUGCCUAUUAGUAUAGGUAUAUAUAUGUGCAAAAAAUCUCGACAUUAAUGAACAUAUAUCUGGUGCACUUGCAAUCUUUUGUAGUACAUUAAUGAAUAUUUAAAGUAUUUUCCAACUCUUGCUAUUUAUAGACUUGUCAUCCGUGUCUGCCACAUUUGGAGUCCAACUAUUUCCUACUGGAACCUUACACUCCACUAGAACUGAGUUUGUCAAGUAACAGAUAACCAAUAUGAGAGGGAGCAGCCUAGUGCAGGGGACGAUGAUAUUCUUCAUUGGAUGCCUUGUGCUUUGUGCACAGUGUAAGUAUAUAUCAUCAUCGUCUUUAGAAUCUUGUGUUAACUUCUUGCCACUAAUUCUUCGGAUCAGACAUACAUACACACACACAUCUGCGGUACUGCAUACUAAGGUUAAAUAUACUAUACAGGUGCUCUCGAUAAUAAGCAAAGGAUGGUCAACCAAGAUGAUCAUGCGGCGAACACAAGUACCAACGCUACCAUCAUCAACUCAACAUCUGUAGGCGAGAGCAAGAAAACCGAGAAAUUUUGCAGCCUCUUUCUCGUAUGUUAUUUCAACAUUGAGAUUCGUGCUGAGUGCUACUGUUGCGAGAAUAAGAAUGCCGACUGUUACAAGACGAAGAGUGAGUGCCUGCAGAAGUGCCAUUCCUACAACGGUUAAUGCCCACCUUCAUCGCGGUCUCUGGGAUAGAAUUCCAUAUGCUCGGAAAAUUUGUCCGUAGGUAAUAAAAGGCACCUUAUAUGGUUUGGGCAAUUAGGUCCCAAUUAAACAUUAGAUAGCCGGCAUGUUUCCGUGGAGAUCCAACAAGGAAAAAUUUGAUGAAAGAAAUCCGAGUAACUAGUUGUCUUGCAUAUUUACAAAGUUCAAAUCCUUUGGCUGUUGUGCUUUGACUCGAUUGUCUAUUAUGCCAUUUCAUUUACUUGCACAUUGCCCACUUGUUCAUUUAACACACAUCACCCACUUGGUGAUUUGCCAGUUGUGGGCUGACAGCCAUAUAGAUUUAUUUUUUUGAGAUCUCGUCAUAUAGAAUUGUAAUAGCACUGACAUGGAAAAGGUUAAAAACUGAAAAACUGAAAAAAGUAAAUCAAACAAACAAAUGGUGUGCAAACUAAAUCAGACGGCACAAGACAAGUGAGAUUUAGUCAGGACUCUUUCAGAUGAAGAUAAGCAAAUUGCAAGAAAACAACAUGCAGAAACAAUUUUAUAUCAUAGCAUAACAUGCAAAAAAGCACAUAUAUAGUACAACGACAACCCACGUGUCUAUAUGCUAUCUAUAUGUAUAUUUAUCUAUCUAUAUCUAUCUAUCUAUCUAUCUAUCUAUCCUUACUAAUAAAAGACGGAUCAUUUAUGCCCAUCCGUCUCAUGUUUUGCAACAAAAUACCCUACUUUUUUCUUUAAUUAACCCGCGGUCAAGGUUUAGGUGAGGUUCGUCCGUUGUGUUUUUUGCAAAGAACGAGGAAACGGUUGCGUUUUGUGAGAUUCAAACUCAUGAUGUCCCCUCCAUGCCCAAAAGCCACAGCCAACUGAGUUAGCAUGCACUUGUGCUACCAAAUAGGUCCAUUAUUUCAUUAAAUUGUCCAACCUUGAUUCUUUGCAUGAGAAUACACAAAUUUAUAUGUGAUUGCAAAUUGCCUGGAAAUCAACAAGCCAACUCGAUAACCAAGAAAUAGAGGGAGAGGAGGAAUUCACUCAAUAAAUAGUGUUAACUAGCCGGGUUUCCCGCGCAUUUGUGCGGCUAGCUGACCCUUUCCGAUGCCAACUAUAUGGCCUUUCACUAAACUAUAUUUUGAUUAAAUUUACACCUUGUAUAUGUCAUCAUAGAAAAAAUGAAAAUCGUAAUGAAACAUGCAAGUGCAUCAGGUUGUUCAUUUUAAUAUAGAAGUGCAUUAGGUUUUUAAAUAAAUUCCUUGGCAUGUCAGGUUGCAACACAGAUAAAAAACCAUGUAUGGGAUUUCAUGCCAAUCUUGGUGUUUUUCCUGUGUGAUCACUCCUCCUUUGUAUCAUUUAAUAGGUUUUCGAGAAAUUCCCUACCAAGACUUAAAUCAAAACAUGAAAUUCUGGUAUGUAAAGGUCCCUUCUUCUAGUCAUACCAAUCAACGGACGCAUUCUUAACUACCUUUUCUUGAUUAAUGCCGCCUACCCACUUAUGUAUCAAGAGAUUCACAUCUUCUAUCGUGCUUAUUUUUUCUAUUGAUAAUAUUUUACAAAAUAUUAUCUUUGACUCACUCCCUUUUAAUUUCUGAAGACUUUGAAAGUGAAGAAAUUGGUGUGACCUUGAAGACUUGGUAUUCAUUCGAGGAACAUGAAGCGUGAAGACUUUUGUUUUAGUAGUUUCAUUUUCUCUUUCUUGAGUCAUAGGAAACACUGUACUGUUAAAGGGGGUCGAGUAAAUACUAAGGAAAAAUUUCCAAGUGAUGCUCAACUUAAAAUCCUACACCUACCAAUCCCUUCGAGUGAAGCCAUUGGAAAUCUCAUGCAGUUCAGUCAGUUUCUUCAGUGACAGAGACGAAGUACUUCUGGUCUCUGAGGAAUUUGUUCUGACUGAGGAGUUAGGAAUUCGCCAGUGCGGAUUGCCUACAAGUGAGGAACAUGAUAGCCCUGAGGAAUUAGACACUCAAAAUUCCGACCGUUGCUGUGCUAUGCGCCAGCUGUCCCAAAAUAUCUUACCCACCUAACGGUCAUAUCAUUGAAGGGCAUUUAUGUCUUAUCAUGUAGGGCUGCUGCCUAGGCUAUAAAUAGCCGCCCCCUACAACCACUAUCUGGUUGGCUGCUCCGAGAGAAACCGACACUUGUCAUUUGAGAGCAUCCCAUCCUCCGAGGACUUUAAGCGAAAAUCAUCAAGUGAGGAAAACCCAAACCCAAACACCUAAAAACCCGAAGUGAUUGAGCAUCACUAAAGAGAUUGAUCCUGCGUGGAUCCGACACUUGUUACCUCUGAAGAAUGUGCAUCUUCCAGACGGUUAGGCGUCAUGGUCUAGAGCAUCCAAGAGGAAAUUGUUGAUCGCCGAGUGACCGAGUUUGUGAAGGUUUGGAAUUCACCUGAAGACUUACCACGAGUGAUUGGGCGAGGCUGUGUGACCGUAGCUCAAGGAGAAUACGGUGAGGACUGUGUGUCCGGGACUAUGUGUCCUCAGGUUUAAAUACCUAGCCGCUCCAACCAGACGUACAACUGUCAUAGCAGUUGGAACUGGUCUACCAAAUCAUUGUCUUCACCAACCCUACUGGUUCUAUUUCCUCAACUCUUUCAUUUCCUCAUUACUGUGUUGUGUGCUUGUUCAUAUCUUUUUGAAGACUUUGACUGAAGACUUUCUCAAUUUCCUCAGUUUAAUUUCUUCAGUCUGUUUUGUCUUCAUCAUGUUUUAUCCUAUGCUUACGCUUCCUGUACUCUGUGUCUGUUUUCGUUUCAUCAUGAUGACCAUGUUUAUGUUAUGUCAUGUAUGGAUCUGAGUACUUAUUCCGCUGAAGUAGUUCUUCGCUAAGGAAUUUCCUCACCCUGAAAUUCCUCAGUGAAGAAUUCAUAAAAAUCGCCUAUUCACGCCCCCUCUAGUUGACUUAACGAACUUUCAUCGUCACAUUAGCAACGCCGCACGCCGAGACGAGCACGUGACACCAAGGCCACCCUAUCUAUCUUACGGUAACGCGAGUCGAGGCGAAUGUCGCCGCGGUAGCGACGACGGACGCCGAGACGAGUACGUGACACCACUGCCACCCUGUCUAUCUUAGGGCAACGCGACUAGACGCGGACGUUGUCGCGGUAGCGAUGAAGGACGCCGAGACGAGCACGUGACACCAUUGCCCCAGUCUAUCUUAGGGUAACGCGAGUCGAGGCGGAUGUCGUCGCGGUAGCGGCGAUGGACGCCGAGACGAGCACGUGACACCACUGCCACCCUGUCUAUCUUAGGGUAAUGCGAGUCGAGGGGGAUGUCGUUGUGGUAGCGACGACGGACGCCAAGACGAGCAUGUGACACCACUGCCACCCUGUGUAUCUUAGGGUAACGCGGGUCGAGGCGGACAUCGUCGCGGUAGCGGCAACGCACACUGAGACGAGCACAUGACACCACUGCCACCCUGUCUUAGGGUAACGCAAGUGUCGAGGCGGACGUCGUCGCGGUAGCGACGACGAACGCCAAGACGAGGACAUGACGCUAGGGCCACCUUGUCUAUCUUAGGGUAACGCGAGUCGAGGCGGACGUCGUCGCGGUAGCGACGACGGACGACGAGACGAGCACGUGACACCACUGCCACCCUGUCUAUCUUAGGGCAACGCGACUCGACUGCCAUGUGAUAUAGGUCAGAACUUUUCUGAAUACUUAGUGUCGCCAUGUGAUCCAGACGAAUAAUUAAGAAAGUAUAUAAUUUUACAACCAUGGAUACGCGAGUCGAGGCGGACGUCGUCCCGAUAGUGAUGGCGGACGCCGAGAUGAGCACGUGGCACCACUGCCACCCUGUCUUAGGGUAACGCGAGUCGAGGCGGACGUCGGCGCAUUAGCGACGACGGACGCCGACACGAGCACGUGACACCAGGGCCACCCUGUCUAUCUUACGGUAACACGAGUCAAGGAGGACGUCGUUGUGGUAGCGACGACGGACGCCGAGACGAGCACGUGACACCACUGUCACCCUGUCUAUCUUAGGGCAACGCGAAUCGACGCGGACGUCGCCACGGUAGCGACGACGGACGUCGAGACGAGCACGUGACACCACUGCCACCAUGUCUAUCUUAGGGUAACGAGAGUCGAGGCGAACAUCAUCGCAGAUGCGACGAUGGAUGCCGAGACGAGCACGUGACACCACUACCACCCUAUCUUAGCGUAAUGAGAGUUGAGGUGGACGUUGUCGCGAUAGCGACUACGGAAGCCGAGAUGAGCACGUGACACCACUGCCACCCUGUCUUAGGGUAAUGCGAGUCGAGGCAGACGUCGUCGCAUUAGCAACGCCGGACCGCGAGAUGAGCACGUGACACCAAGGCCACCCUGUCUAUCUUACGCUAACGCGAGUCGAGGCGGACGGCGUCGCGGUAGCGACGACGGACGCCGAGACGAGCAUGUGACACCACUGUCACCCUAUCUAUCUUAGGGAAACGUGAGUCGACGCGGACGUCGUCGUGGUAGNNNNNNNNNNNNNNNNNNNNNNNNNNNNNNNNNNNNNNNNNNNNNNNNNNNNNNNNNNNNNNNNNNNNNNNNNNNNNNNNNNNNNNNNNNNNNNNNNNNNNNNNNNNNNNNNNNNNNNNNNNNNNNNNNNNNNNNNNNNNNNNNNNNNNNNNNNNNNNNNNNNNNNNNNNNNNNNNNNNNNNNNNNNNNNNNNNNNNNNNNNNNNNNNNNNNNNNNNNNNNNNNNNNNNNNNNNNNNNNNNNNNNNNNNNNNNNNNNNNNNNNNNNNNNNNNNNNNNNNNNNNNNNNNNNNNNNNNNNNNNNNNNNNNNNNNNNNNNNNNNNNNNNNNNNNNNNNNNNNNNNNNNNNNNNNNNNNNNNNNNNNNNNNNNNNNNNNNNNNNNNNNNNNNNNNNNNNNNNNNNNNNNNNNNNNNNNNNNNNNNNNNNNNNNNNNNNNNNNNNNNNNNNNNNNNNNNNNNNNNNNNNNNNNNNNNNNNNNNNNNNNNNNNNNNNNNNNNNNNNNNNNNNNNNNNNNNNNNNNNNNNNNNNNNNNNNNNNNNNNNNNNNNNNNNNNNNNNNNNNNNNNNNNNNNNNNNNNNNNNNNNNNNNNNNNNNNNNNNNNNNNNNNNNNNNNNNNNNNNNNNNNNNNNNNNNNNNNNNNNNNNNNNNNNNNNNNNNNNNNNNNNNNNNNNNNNNNNNNNNNNNNNNNNNNNNNNNNNNNNNNNNNNNNNNNNNNNNNNNNNNNNNNNNNNNNNNNNNNNNNNNNNNNNNNNNNNNNNNNNNNNNNNNNNNNNNNNNNNNNNNNNNNNNNNNNNNNNNNNNNNNNNNNNNNNNNNNNNNNNNNNNNNNNNNNNNNNNNNNNNNNNNNNNNNNNNNNNNNNNNNNNNNNNNNNNNNNNNNNNNNNNNNNNNNNNNNNNNNNNNNNNNNNNNNNNNNNNNNNNNNNNNNNNNNNNNNNNNNNNNNNNNNNNNNNNNNNNNNNNNNNNNNNNNNNNNNNNNNNNNNNNNNNNNNNNNNNNNNNNNNNNNNNNNNNNNNNNNNNNNNNNNNNNNNNNNNNNNNNNNNNNNNNNNNNNNNNNNNNNNNNNNNNNNNNNNNNNNNNNNNNNNNNNNNNNNNNNGCGUCGCGCUAGCGACGACGGACGCCGAGACGAGCACAUGACACCAAUACCACCAUGUCUAUCUUAGGGAAACGCGAGUCGACGCGGAUGUCGUCGUGGUAGCGACGCGGACACCGAGGCAAGCACGUGACACCACUGCCACCCUGUCUAUCUUAGGGUAACACGAGUCGUGGCGGAUGUCGUCGUGGUAGCGACGACGGACGCCGAGACUAGCACGUGACACCACUGCCACCCUGUCUUAGGGUAACGCGAGGCGAUGCGAAUGUCGUCGCGGUAGCGACGAUGGACUCCUAUACGAGCAUGUGACACCACUGCCACCCUCUCUUAGGGUAACACGAGUAGAGGCGGAGGUCGUCGCGGAAGCGGCGACGGAUGCCUAGGCGAGAACGUGACACCACUGCCACCUUGUCUUAGCGUAACGCAAGUCGAGGCGGACGUCGUCCCGAUAGCGACGACGGACGCCACGGCGAGCACGUGACACCACUGCCACCCUUUCUUAGCGGAACACGAGUCGAGGCGGACGUCGUCGCGAUAGCGAUGACGGACGCCAAGACGAGCAUGUGACACCGCUGCCACCCUGUCUUAGGGUAACACGAGUUGAGGCGGACGUCGUCCCGUUAGCAACGACGGACGCCGUGACGAAAGUGGAGCGCUCAAGGCCGGAAUCGACCGCGAAAGGGAAUAGAAUGGGCGCAACCAUUCGCUAACUUUGUCGUUUGCUGUCGCAUCGAUCUGGUGUGAAAUGAGAGCUCCUAUGUGUCGCAUUUUGCGGGGCGCCACCGAGUGGGCCGGCCCAUUAGUAGCACUGCAGCAAGCCAAUAAACGCACUGUAGCUAAAAACUGAGCGCCCCGUGGGGACGGACGCCGAGACGAGCACGUGACACCACUGCCACCCUGUCUUAAAAGUCGAGGCGGACGUCGUCUAGCAUGUCAUGUCAAAUUGACACAAAAAAUGUUCAUUUAAAAAAAAUAUUAGAUAUUUCAGAAAAUGUUCUUGUUUUUCAGGAAAUUUCAGGAAUUCAAAAGUUGUUUAUUUCUACAAAUUUGUUCUUGAUUUGAAUUUUUUCUCAUUAAUUUUAAAACAUGUUCAUAGUAGAUCAAUUUAAUGAACAUUUCGAUUCAACCAAAAAGCUGUAGAUCAAUUUAAUUCAGUAUGUUAAUUUAUGUUUAAUAAAAUUAUGUUCAUGAAAAGUAUUAAUCGAAAGGGAAUAGAGGAAUAUGCGAAUUUAUUUUUUGUGUGUAAAAGUAGCUAUUCAUUUUAGUUGAAAGUGCUAGUUCAUUUCAAUUAAAAGUGGGAUUUCCGGCCCGUUAUUGUCCCUGAAAAACCACUGGCCCAGAAAGGGAAUAGGAAAACACAGGCCCAAAAGAAAAAAACAUGGAAAGGGAAUAGAGGCUAGGUGAGGUAUUGGGCCAAGGCUGGGCCGAACUCAUGAAAAGUGGAGCGCUCAAGGCCGGAAUCGAUCACGAAAGGGAAUAGAAUGGGCGCAACCAUUCGCUAACUUUGUCGUUUGCUGUCGCAUCGAUCUGGUGCGAAAUGAGAGCUCCUAUGUGUCGCAUUUUGCGGGGCGCCACCGAGUGGGCCGGCCCAUUAGCAGCACUGCAGCGAGCCAAUAAACGCACUGUAGCUAAAAACUGAGCGCCCCCGUGGGGGGAGCGAACUAGCGACCUCUGGCUACUGAAUGACUCUCGCUAGCCACUUGAGCUGAUGACCCGUUGGUUAUUGUUAUACACCGCAAAAUACUAAAAGCACUACUGGGAGGAGCAGAUCAAACAUGUACUGUAGCGACCGGACCGUGUACUGUAACGACACGAACAAGGCAAGGUAGAGUUUCUUUUAGAAGCUCCAAAUCUUUCUUUGAAAAACAUGAACAUUUUUUAAAAAUACAAAUAAAAUUUCAAAUUUCAAACAUUUUUCAAAACAGAUAAAAAAUUUAGAAAACCACAAAAGUAUUUAGAAUUUGUGAACAUUCUUUUGAAAAAGGGAACAUUUUUUAAAUUCCGAACAAAUUUUGAAAGCCUGAACAUUAUUUGAAACUCCCCGAACAAUUUUUGAAUUUGUGAACAAAUUUUGAAAACGAGAACAUUUUUUGAAAUUGUGAACAAAUUUUUUAAACCACAUACAUUUUUUGAAAUUGUAAACACUUUUUGAAUUUGUGAAAAUAUUUCAAAAUGAGAACAUUUUUUGAAAUUCUGAAUUAUAUUUGAAAUUUUCAAAAAAGUUCGAAUAGAAAAAUAAACUUAAAAAAUAAUAAGAGAAAAAUGAAAUAGAAAACAAAAAAAUAUUCAGAAAUUCAUGAACGUUGUUUUGAAAAUAUUUAGAAAAGAAGCCAACAAUUUUUGAAAUUUCUGGACAAAAUUUGAAAACAGGAACAUUUUUGGAAAUUCCGAAACAAUUUUAAAAUGCAAACAUUUUUUGAAUGUAGAAACAAAAUUUGAAAAAAGGAACAUUUUCCAAAUUUUGAACUUUUUUUAGGAAUCUGAAUAUUUCUAGAAAAAGAAAAAUGAAAUUGAAUAAAAAGAAAACGGAAAAAGAAAAAGAAAAACCUGACCACAAAGAAAUAGAAAAAAAGAAAAGAAAAGAAAAGAAAAAACCGUAGAAAAGAAAAAAACUGGUUCAGGGAACCUUCUGGAAGGUUCCCAAAACCAGAUGGGGUAGUGCCAACGCGAUCUACUCAAAUAGGCUGGCCCAGUCGUGUUGGUCGGCCGAUCGCCUGUGCAUUGCCCUGGCAACUUGCCGCGACGAGCGGCAAAUAGGAAAUUCCGUGCGAAAAAUCGAGGGCGCCUCUUAGGACGCGCGCGCUAGUGACGCCGCAUUGGAGUUCUCUCUAUACGGAUACUUGCUAGCGUUGACCAAGCACGGAAAUAAGCGAGGUCACUUCUCUCUAUUAGCUAGCUAACACAAUAUAUGAAACCCCCUCUCCCUUCUUUAAAAAAAACCAAAACCCCUGCUCCUGCUAGCUGCUGACGCGUGGAUGCCUUUUGGUACCGGUUGCUGUUACCAACCGGGACUAAAGGUGCUCCUGCCUAGGCGCCCCGCAGCGGCCACGUGGAGCCCCUUCUGUCCCGGUUCAUAAGCGAACCGGGACUAAAGGUUUUGGGCUUUAGUCCCGAACCUUUAGUCCCGGUUCCAGAACCGGGGCUAAAACUACAAAAAAAAUACACUUCCGUGGUGAUACACGUUUGUCACAGUAGGUCGCAUUUUCUGUCAUGCAUGUACAUCCAUGACGAUUUUAUGACAGAAUCAAGGUAGUCAUACCUGUGCUGUCGUAGAAGUGUUCCAUGACAUUACCAAAAUUAUCAUCACGGAAAUGUCCACUUCCAUGACGAUAAAUCCCGCGUCACAGAAGUGCUUUCGUCAAGGGUGACCGACACGUGGCAUCCACCGUAACGGAACGCCGUUAAGCUAUCGGGUCGGGUUUUGGAUCCGAUAACCCGUUAACAACCCCGACCAAUGGGGAUUUUCCACGUGUAAAAUCAUCAUUGGCUGGAGGAAACACGUGUCGGCUCAUCGUUGGGACAGAUGUCAUCCACUCAAUGGACAGAAGGCGCCUAUGAUACGUCGACACGUGGCACGGCCCAACAGAGGCCCAUUCCUGUGAAAAGGCCGGCCCGUUUGACUUGGUCAAAAGGUGGCGGGCCGGCCCAUGUAAAGCCUGUUAACUGCCUGUUCGCAUAUAGCCCAUUUACAGCCCGCUAACCCAAGGCCCGUUACGCCCUAUCCGAAUUAGGCCCAGUAGCGUCAUCUGGGCCACCCAAUAUGAUUCCAGCCCGUUUUCACUUCUGGCCCAUGUAUGGCCCAUGACGUCUUUCGGCCCAUAUGAGGCCCUAUGUAACUCUUGGCCUAUUAACGGCCCGUGGUGAAACUGGCCCGUAAUGAACAGUGUAUCACUUUACACCCAUUAACGGCCCGUGGUGAAACUGGCCCGUAAUGAACAGUGUAUCACUUUAUACCCAUUAACGGCCCGUUAUCCCGUUGGGCCGUUUCCAUCCCAUGUUAUCUUUCGGCCUUCUCAGAGCCCAUUUAUUCUUGGGCUCAUUUACAGCAUUCGUUUACUUAUGGCCCGUUACUGUCAUUUUCUGCUUGUGGGCCAAAUUCAGCCCGUGGUUACAGUCCGCCCGUUUGUGGUCCGUUAAUACGUUGGGCCGUUUUCAUAGCGUCAUCAAAUACGGCCUAUUAACGAUGGUCCGUUAUGGUCGGCCCAUGAACGGACGAUUCCAACUCUAGCCCGUUUACGGCCAUAAUGCGGCAUGUUAUUGGCCCAGGUUUGGCCAAUCGAUCAUACUGCCCGUAUAAGGCCCAUUGAUGAUACGGCCCGUAGAAGGCCCAUUGUUUCUACGGCCCAUAGAAGGCCCAUUGUUUCUACGGCCCGUAGAAGGCCCACUGUUUCUAUGGCCCGUAGAAGGCCCACUGUUUCUACGGCCCGUAGGAGGCCCAGUGUCACUACAGUAAAUAUUAGCCCAUGGUUAUUGUGGCCUAGUUUUAAAAAAUAGGCUAUUGCAGCCACUAGCAAACCGCGGAAAAAGAACUGCAAUGACUGCAAGCAAACAAAUAAACAAGACAACAAGGAAAUAAACAAGCAAGCAACUUAUGCUAGGCUAUCACACAUAUUACAUCCACUGGGCAUCAAAGUUCGCCACCAGUGCAAAUAAACGCGCCGACAAAAGAAUAUACAAAACUGAGAGCACUUCAGGAGGCACUAGGCCUGGCCAUGUCGGGCCCCCCAAACAGCCGAAGAAGCUGAGUAGACCUCGGUUGUGUCAACGAUAGAUGCAUCAACACUAGAUUUAAGGCAUGAUGGUGCGCAUGGCAGUCCUCUGACAUCUUCAUUGCAUCUUUGACUUCAAGUCGGAGCUGAGCUGAAGCAAGCCUUUCCGCUUUAAGUUGAGACUGAAGAAGUCGAACUGAUUGAGGCAGCGACUGCACAGAGGUUGUCUCACACCUGCUGGUGAGUAGCUUCAACUCACUGUCUUCAUCAAGACAGGACCUCGGGGUCAUCUCGCUGUCCUCAAGAUGGUUUGGCUCACUAUCUUCCCUAAAGUUCUGCCUGGCGUAAGAGAUACGAGUCUGAAAGAGAAACAAGGAGACACGUAACAGGUUUCACAAUUAUAUAAGCAAAUAAAUGGAUCUGUUCUGCAUAAGGAACAUGUUUUUACAACUACAAUUUGAAACUGGUAGUUGUUGCAAACAUCCAAUCAGAUGUAAACAGCAAAGCAAACAGCAGUGGAGGAAAUGAUGCCUAUCCAAAUCUAUACUAGAACAAAGUUUGAAGGCUUGAGAAGGAUGAACUUACAUUACAUGUUAACACGGGCUGGACAAAGUCCUUCUCCAUGUUGAUGGAAGGAUAAUUCAAUAAAUUCCCCAAAGAAAAUUCUUUAUAAGCGUUGCCAUUAUUCUACAUUUUGCAAAGAGUAAAUAUAGAUCAAAUAAUAUUGGAAGAAACAGAGGAUAAUGAAGCUCAGGUGCAGACUGAUGAUACAUAAUCAAAUAGCAAUUAAUUAAGUACAACGUUACAAGGCAAAAGGGAGAGAGGUACUGACAAGAGCAAUGCAGAGCCCAUUAUUGUUUUGAGAUUGUAUGAUCCUUUGAGCAAGGAGAUUCAUCUGAAAUUAGUUUUCAUACAAGAGAGAAGGUAAGGCACAAGAAAAAUUUAGGAGUUCAAAUUUUGAAUUGAUAUCAUAGACAGUACCUGACGCUGGGCUCCCAGCAGUUCUAAUAGGGGUUUGGCCACUGGAGUAGGGGUAAAGUGUGGUACAGUUGGGCCUGUGUUUUCUGUGGCUGCUGAUCUAUCUGAUUUAACAGGUAUCACUACCUUUUCCAAAUACCUAGUUUGUACUCCUUGAGGAUCUGCACUCACCCUCUUCCUUUUGGAAAUCUAUUACGAAAGAACAACAUUUGACUGGAAAAACAUAGUGUGACGAGACAUGGAAUAGGUACAGAAAAUGGAUAGGUAUGGCAUAUACUCAUAUAUGAUGCUUAAACUAAGCAGAUGGUGUAACAAAGUAGAAGUAAUGCAAGCGGUCAGAUGCAAAAUAUGCGCGACCAAUACAACUUUGCAAAGUUAGAGCAAGCACCUUGAUGGGUGAAUAAGAUAGGCCAUCCUCCACCAUGCCAAGUUUGUUAGCCAGUGAAUCGUUCCGCAAUAUUCCUCUCAUGCGCCCAUUCUCAUAUUCAUUUUGAUAAUGUUCAAUAUCUGACAUGCAUGAAAACAUAAAAACAAGUGAGAUUUUCUUUGUAAUGCAGAAGUGAUUCUAAUCCAAUACUGCCUCCCUGUAAACCCCUUUGUGCUAUCUCUGCAAUUCUUUUAAAAGAUGCCAUGCAUGCUGUAAUUUGUUGUGUGCAUUAAUAUAAUGUCGCCUACUACUCAAAAUAUGAGAGCUCCAGAAGUGAUGACACUUCGCAGAUGAUAGCUUCAACAUAUAGUAAAGAAGAACAAGUCGACCUGACCUGACAUAUUCAAAAUAUACUAAGGGAGAACAACUCGACCUGACCAGUCGACCGCAAGGGAAGAGUAUCAUCUUAAAGAAGAGCAGAAGAGCAAGCAGAUUGAAGAUAUUACAAGUCUUUCAAUACAAUGUCGGUUGGCCACCCAUGAUGAACCAGAGCGCACAGAGAAAUACUAUUCUUUCUGGUCUCUCCAUAUGUGGCUCACAUGCAUUUCGAAACUAAAGAAGGAACAUUUAGCUAACCAAUUAAACAUCUCUCAGUUUUACUAAUAUCAGCAAUAAUAUCAUAUAUGAAUUUGUACAACUAAGCUUUUUUAGCUCGAUGGGUGGAGCAGUGCUAUUACGACACGAACCACGUAGGCUGAUUGUGGUCAUCAUAAAAUGGGGAAAACAUAAGCAUGAUGAGUACAGUGUUGACCGUGGCAGUGGGAUGGCAGAUCUGAAGCUGCAAACCGCGCAAAGGGUAGUUAGCAACCGAUGUUUGCUUUGAAAUAACAACUAAGAUUUGGUAUGGACAAGAAAGUACGGUCAACAAGUGACAAAGAAAUGCAAUUAUGCUGUCUCUCUAUAUGUCGCGACAUGCAUUUGGAAACUCAAGUGGGACCUUUAGCUAACCAAUUAAAUGUGUCGGUUAACUAAUAUCAGUAUCAUAUCACAAUCAUAUUUGAACAACUAAGCUUUCGAAUUCUGAGUGUUGUGUUGUUUAGCUUGAAGGGUGGAGUAAUGCUAGUACGACAGAAAGGACCUACGCAGAUCAGAGUAGAGUAGAUAAAAGGGGAAAACCCUAAGCAUCAAGAGAAAAAUCAGGAAAGUGGAACUAGCUGGACCAGUGGGUGGCGCACAUGCUUUUUGAAACGAAUAUAGGAACAUUAGGUGACCAAUUAAACGUUCUCUGUUUUAGUAAUAUGAGCAUCAUAUCAGAUUCGUAUUUCAACACGUAAGCUUUGGGUUGAGGUCUUGAGGAGCAGUGCUAGCACGACACGAAGCACCUACGAUGAUGGUAGUGAAUAUAAAGGGGGGAAACCAUAAGCUUUACGAGUAUAGUGCCCGUGCCAUGGAGGAUCUGAAGGUGCAAACCGGACAAAGCUACUUCACAACCAAUGUUUGCUUUCAACUAGCCACUAUGAUUUGGUACGGACAAGAAAAGUAAAGUAAACAAAUUACGGUCUAUUUUCCGGGUGAGAUCAAUAACUUAAGCACAUAUGGAAGAGUACCACCUCUCUUGCGACGCCGUGUAGGCCUAUGCUGAUACGUUGAGGGUGCUGCGGGUGCGAUGGCUAUCGGCGGCGGGGAAGAAGACUUUAGACGGCAGACGACCGGGUCAGGGGAUAUAUCCUGUUGCCGUGGACGAGGCGGUCGUAGGAGCGGCAACGGCAAGGUGGACGACGGCACCGAUGAAGCGAGAGGAGGCGAUGAAAGGAUCCUGGUCCAACGCCGUGGAUGAGAGACGUCCAUCUCUUGCAGUGGACGACGGGGUAGGGGUAGCGGCUCCGGCAAGGUGGAAGAUGGGGUGGCGGACGGAGGAGGCUGGCCGCAGUGCGGAGGUUGUCGUGCCGCCGACGGUGUAUGAAUGGGGAAAUGGAGGGGAGGGGGGAUCUCAAACUUUGGGACGCGCUUCUCUGAAAUGGGGGAAAGUUACGAACUUAUCCCCCGUUUAAAAUUUCGGACAUCGCAUCGGUUGGGGAUAGGACGGUAAUCUCGCAUCUCCCAAAUAUUUGCCGGUAACUAUUUCGGGCGAGGAGAGGGUGUUUUGCCGCCCACGGUUGGCGCCCACGGUGUAUGAACGGGGCUGACAGGUAGGGCGGUUGUGUCACGUCUGAUGGAAGUUACACAUCUGCCCCUAUUUAAAAUAUUAGCCUACAUCGAUUUCGGACGAGGAGAGUUUGUUUUGCCGCCCACCGUGUACGAAUGGGGAAAUGGAGGAAGAGACACAUGUCUUUCGGACGAGCUUGAAUCAAAUGUGUUUUGCUGCCCACGUUUGGCGCCCACCGUGUCUGAAUGGGCUCAGAGGCCGUCGUGUCACGUCUGAUUUAAGUUACUAGUCUACCCCUAUCGACAGCAGUGUAAAUCCGGUCGAUAAGGAUGUCAAGUGUGAGGGGUAGACAGUAAUUUCCAUCUCGCAAACACUUGCUUCGGGCAGCCCACAAAUUACAGUGGGUGUUUAGCCUCUUCGUUCAAAACUUGGGAGAAUUAGCAUUCACGUUUGCCCUGGGACCUGGCAAACUAAAUUCAAAUCCAAUUUGUAUUCAAUUACGAAUAUCCACAGAUAAUUAUACAUUUUGUUAUUUAUUUCUUCGAAACCAUAACAAACAUUUAUUCCACCUUUAUAUAUGAUUAUGAUUUAGAAAUGCCGUGAUCUUCGAAUUCAGUAGGUUGGAUACACUCUGAGUCAAACAGUUAUUUCAUCCAAUACAAUAUGCUCACACGAAAAACAGUUCACCUUAUGUCAAUCAUACAAGUACUGAGGAUUACCUCGCCUAAAAAAUUCGGAUCAUUACAACACAUGGACAACAUAGGGGGUCUUGCAACAUAAUCCAUUCAGAGAUAUGACACAACAUGCAAGUACAAUAAUCUAAUGACAAUUUCAACUGGUAUCUAAAGAAGAACCGGGAUUACCUUGGGCUUUAGAUAGCAGAAACAGCAGGACCUCCUCCGUCUUCAAAUGCAACAUUCUUACUUCCUCCAAUUCUAGGGUUGCUUGCAUAAUGCGUGGCGCUAAUUCCGUAAUUUCCAGCCUCAAGAUAAAGAUUACCUCAUUGAUGGCAGCCCCACCAUCUCUUUCUGCCUCUAGUAGAGCCUCAAGCACUAUAAUAUCUGUGCUCAGACUGCUCUCCGGCGGUGUUGCCUCUGAACUGCUACCAUCUGGUAACAUGGAUGGCACACUGCUUCCACAAAUAGAUUCUGGGGUUGUACAUUGUGUCCAAGUGUGAACGGCAUCCUGGAAGGUUUUCGCUGGACAUCAGUAAGAGAUAGUUAUCGUAUGAUCCAGGCAGUAAGCUUACAUGGUAAACGAUGGAUGAAUUAUUGCCGAGCAUGGCAAACUAUAUUUAAAUGGUUCGAAGCAGCAUCAGCCGAAAAGAAAUUAAAAUUGUAAGAUGAAACUAGGGAUGUAAGUGGCAAAUAAACGACAUCCGCCAGUCCCAUCUAGUUAGUUUUUGCUACCUCCCUAGUUCAUUUUCCACAAAAAACAAAAACUCUUUUGAACUAUCAUACCACUAGUGGACUUUAAUCGGGAUUAAACGGGACCCAGUUGACAUCCCUAGUUGAAAGGGAGUGUACAACCGCUAUAUUUAAGUUGCCAAGGCAUCUAAGCAGUUGAAAUAAUCUGAGAAAGCACUUAACAGUGUGGCCUCAUAUAAACUACCAAGACAGUCUUGUGAUGAAGUUGAGAGGAAAAGUUAAGGACUCAAAUGAAAUAGGCAUGCAUUUCUUUACGAUAGUACAGCAGGCACUGCUGACAUAUUGGACAACUCAGGUAUAGCAUAACAACAAAUAAGCAUUCGAAUCAAGCAAUACAGCAAAGCAGACAACUGAACUAUUUGUAAUUCGGUAGGAUUACAUGUUGAGGGCACAAGCCAAGAAAGCAGCCCACUCGCAUUACAUUUCACAUGUACUAAAACACACUGGCUUACCAUAUGUUGCUGUGAAGCCUAGCUGCUGUUGCAAUGUUCUUUGAAGAUAUCGUCAGCAUCCCGUGGUUGCAAAUCUAGUUGUUGUAGUUUAUUCUGCACCAUCUAUUUAGGUAAAAUUAAUUUUAAUCGCAUGCACUGGUCCGAAUUGAUCAUCAAUGGUUCAUCUAAACUAAUGAAAGAAGGGUGUGUGCAUACACGACAAUAUACCUGCUUCCCUCUAUUUUUAUGCUUGUUCGAGGUGCCAGCCCCAAAAGAACAAAUAUUUUGCUUGAUGGGGUUGGCAGCUCCAUAAUUAAUAGAAGCAUCAAAUUAGUCAUGCAACUUGGGAAGAUCAAGAACACACAAACAAGUAAUGAACAGAGGCUCGGAGCGGUGAUGUAAUAGCUAGCAUCAGAAAAUGUAGGGUAAAAUGAACAAAAAGCAGCGGAACCACAUGCUAGUUUGCUGAUGUGUAAUUAAGCAUAGAGAACAUUAAGCAGUCUGAUGGAACCAACAGGUGGCAUCAGAACAAAACUAAAGCAUAUUAACUAUAUGUGCACUAAUAUGUAAUUUAGCACAUGUAACAUGUUCACUGCCAGAAGAAUGGCCCUACAGGUGCAAGCAGAAUAACGCGUCUCAUGAAAAACUGAAUGAUGCCCUGAAGAAAUUCAAAGGUGCGGUGCUUAUGCUAGGAAAGUGAACGUAGGCGCCGGCCGUUGGAUAAUAGUACCUGAUUCUCGGCGGCGUAUGGGUAUCGUUGUCAUACUUGAUAGCUAAGGAUCGUCGAUGGUGCUCGUGUUGCGGUUGAGUUUGGGCCGGCUGUCGUCGUCGCUGAAGCGGCUCCGGUGCUACGGUUGCGGUGCCUGUCGACAUACAAGAAAGUUCAUCUGUGGUAAGUGAACAGUUGCACGAUAAAGAGAAAAACCGAAGGAGUACAAAUUGAAAUAACCUGAUGAGGCUGCGGCGUCGGUAAAGCAGGGCCGGUGGAGUUGAAUAUGGUGUCUAUGGAGCGGGUCCGGUGUAGUGGACGAAGGCUUCGACGGGCCUGUUGUACAGUGCUUUCGGUGAGGCGGAUCUGUUGCGGCGGACGAGGGCUUGUAUGAAGGGCCAGCGAAGGGGCGGACGAGGGAGUCAGUGAAGGGCCUACGCUACGGUGGACGAGGGCACCGGUUAAGCAGAUCCGGUGCGGUGGACCAUGAUGGCGGUCAAGGAGAUCUGGAGCGGUGGACAAGCCAGUCGCUGAAGCGGCUCCGGUGAAGUGGUGAGUUGGCAGUUGGGGGUUCCAAGGUGCGGAAGGUAGAUCUGGCGGGGUGUGAGGUCCACCGCUGCGGCGGAGGACUAGAUUCGGCGGCUUGCCGUGGUUGGGGGGGUCGGGGAGGGGAAGGGGAGGGGCUCUGGGGAAGAAUGUUAGGGGCAAAGAGGGGAAAACAAUGGAGUUACCAAAGCAGCCCUUUUCCGUUCAUGUGGCAGGGGUAAAACAGGAACAUCGCAGGGCUAAACUUUCGGGCGCGUGAUAUUUCGAUGUGAGCGGGAAGUUUGAAAGCUUUUCGCACCUAAAAAUAUAAGUAUUCUGCUCUCGUACGACCGACUAUGAUAUCAUGGCCGACAAUUUGUUUGUUUUGCACGCAAAAAAUGUGCAAGUUUUGAAAAUCAAUGUCUCCAACUCGAAACUUAGAUUGUCCAUUCAAUUCAAACAUGGUUCAUUGAGCUACUACAAGCAAAUACCAUCAUACGGUCCAGUUCAAAUGAAAUUCCAAAUGUGUUUAUCCUAAAUAUGAUGACAAAAGCAAAAAUGUGUAUGUGUAUGAAUAAAGUGGAUGAUUAUAAAGUUUGAACAUGCCCGUAUGUGUAUAUCUCUAGGUUUGAUAUAUGAAUUUGAAAUCACAAAAUCCCGGCUUAAAAAAUGUACCUCCGUUUAAAUGAAUUACAAAAGCUAAUGAUGGAGUCGAAUUCCAAAAUUCCAAUCUUAGGUUUGUAAUUCUGGUACAUCAAGGUAUAUCACGCAUGUUGAAAAGUAUCAUUAUCUCAUAGUACAAACUGUGAAACAAAUUGAUCAACCAUGAGUGCACAAUAUCUCAAUUACGCUAAAGUCCCUCAAAUAUAGACACCUCACUCUUUAUCUGAAGUCAACCCCCCACCACCACACACACACACACAUAGAGAAGUCGUUCUCUCCCCCAAACACCAACACACGAGCACAUUAACACCCCUCUCUCUUGUAAAGUCCGGACCCCAACAUAGGUCUCUAUCACUUUGUCUCUCGGGCAUGCACACAUGUCUUCCCUCACUCUCUAGGUCUCCCGCUAUCUCUCUUACCCAAGAACACACACUAUGUAGAGUGUAUAUUUCCCAUACACACAAAACGUUGCCCCCAAACGUCUAUCUCCCUAGUUAUGUGGUUCUCGCGCACUCACCUCACACACCACCCCCACUACAAACAAGCACACUUUGUCUCCUUGUGCACCACUCUCCUCUUUCUAUCUAUCCCACAUGCGGACCCGCCCCAGCUCCUUCCCUGUAUACAUAUAUGUCGUGACUCUUUGCAUAGCUCCCUAAUGUAUAAUCGUUCUCGAUUUCGCACAUUGUUCUCUACACCAUCUAUUCUAGAUCUCUCAUGAAGUCCCUAUCACACACACGAUGACUCGCUUCCCUUGCGUCUCCGUUCAUAGGCCAAUUUCGGAUAACAUCAACAUUGUCUCCCUAUCUAUACGCCAUUUAUGGACACAAACGACCCCUCUCGCCCCCUCUCUUCCUCUCUCUCUCUCUCUCUCUCUCUCUCUCUCUCUCUCUCUCUCUCUCUCCGUCGCUAGCUCUCUCUUUCUCUCGCUCUCACACCCCUCUCCCACACACACACUCGAUGUCUCUUCCAAAUAGUCUGCUCCCCCCACCCGCACCCGUGCUAUCUCGCUACUACACAUGUCACACCAUUCCCCUUCCCUUAUACUAGGUUUACAUCAUCAGUGGUCUCUCUACUCCACAUACACUCUCUCCCUCUCACACACAAACGCAUGCACAAACACACACAGACACGCACAAACACCCAUUUAUCUGGAUCCUCAUCUCUCCUCAUGUCCGCAUGUGUAUCUCACACACUCACUCUCUAAUUAUGUAUAUGUGUCUCCACGUUACACAACACAAAGCCCCAUGUACAUGUCUCUCUCUAUCCUCCACACACAUAGACACAAAGAAUCUGUUAUCAUUGCCUUAGUCUCUAACAUAUCACACACGCACACUGUCUCUCUCUCUCUCGCAAACACGCUCAACAAGGGUUUCCCCGUGAAUAACUUACCGUCUAUUCAUCAACAGUCGUGGCAGUACGGCGAACACGAGACGUGAAAAAAGAAUAAAUCUACACGUGCUUAGACCACCUAGUAUGACUACUAGGACUAGAGCAAGCCAAAAAGCGUGCCGCCGUCACCCCCUCCUUGUCGGCGACGGGAAAAUCUUUGUUUUACACAGUCGAGAAGUCAUUGUGCUAAGGCCCCACAUGCUGAGGUGUUGAAUAGAAUGUAGAUGCUAGUUUACGGAAGCAAGUAUCGAUAAUAUGUUUGUAUCUCCAUACUUAUAUUUCUUCUCUUAUAAAAAACCGAGUUGGUGAUGAUGGUACGUGUGCCAUCUUGCAAUAUAGACCGUCCGAUCUAUAUCUGAUGGAUGGAAAUUAAACUAAAAGAUACCCGCACCCCUCUCCACAUUUGGAGACAAGGCCUUCCCUCGUUCAUCCUUAUCUCCAACAAACCUCAUUGUUGAGCAAUUAAGAAAGGAAGCCUCUGGAACAAACUGGCCUGGUGGCCGCUGCCGGCGUCGUCAAUCCCCAUGCCUCCGCUCAGUCCGACCACCAACCACCACCACACCCCACUCCUCUUCACCUUAUCUCAUAUUUCUCGAGAUAUCAUUAGUUUUUACACAUGGGAUUACUCCCGCAAGGGUCAAUCACAACAGUGUUUUAUAAAAAAAUGCAUCUUGAUGUUCCAUGCAAUGCACGGAUCUUGCUAUUACUCCUACACAAGACUAAGUUGGUGAUGCUGGUGUGUCUGCCAUCCGUCGUUUCUGACCAUUAGAUCUACAUCUAACGAUUGUGAGGUAAGUUGUUGCCUUUUCUUACCAACAUCCCACUUGUCUACCAAUUUGCAGAAAAACCCAUAAUUAGUAUCUUAAAACCAACCACAUCCCUCCCUGACCUCACCCAAACAGCCCAAGGAAUAUAUUCUAAUUGAAACAUAAUAUAUCUCUAGUGACAUAUGUAUAUCAAAAUUAGAGUGUUUUGUACCAAGUUUGUGAAUAAGUAUUAUUCUAAUUAUGAUUCGUUGCAACGGACAUGAACAUUGCUAGUAUUUCCAACCAUGCAUUUUUUCCUAGUAUUCCAUAGUUUCGAGUUUUCCAUCAAGAUAUUAGUCACUCAUGGUUGAUAUUUACUUUCAAUCAUGUACCCAUAUGCACUAUGUAACUAGCCUUGCUUAUUGGCUUCCAAAGCUUAACUUUCACUCCUACUUACAAUAUGUAGAGUAUUUAACAAAAAACUACCACUUUCAGCCAGCCCUAGGAAGAAUCUAUUGUACAAAAAAUAGCAAAAACAUACCCAAAAUUUCUUAAUCCACGCUAAAAACUACCUAGUACUCCUACCGAUUAGGUUCGUUUAAACCCAUUUAUGACAGGGUUGGCCCACACGUCCGUGCUGACGAGGCAGCUUAAACCAACACAUUUUGUUUGACCGUUGACACGAGGGACCCACAUCUGACCUUCUAUCCUGUUAUUCCCCCUCAAAUCAUUAUUUUUCCUGAACAUUACUUCAAACAGUACGGAUGCGUAUUCGUCGGUGGCGCCGGUGAUGAGCGAGUUGGCCGCCGCUCCGCUGGACGGGCCGGAUGCCGCGGUGGCCUCCGCACGGGUUGGCAGGCUGGCCCGAGCGUGACUCACGAGCGAGCAAGCCGCCGCGCUGGCCUUCGCUCGAGCCAGAUGGCUGGCCUUAGCGCGGCGCGCGCGAGCAAGCGGCCGCGCUGCCGUGCCAAUCUAGCUAGCAAACCUUGCAGACAAGCAGCUGGACGGAGCUAUCUUGGCUAGCUAGCGGCCGCGAGCAACGGACGGAGCUGGCAUCCGGGCUACCGCAACAUGGGCUCCGCACCGCCGGCGGUUUUGACCUCGCCUUCUGCCGGCGGCGGUAGCUGCGUCCCAUGGCCGAGGAUGACUAGGAGGACGGGCCAGAGGUAGGAGGUCACUCGAGGAUUUUUGUUGGUAAGAGCAUGUACAAUGGUUGAUAAGGUAGUCUUAUCUUAAGUCUGCCACGUAUGCAAGUGGUAGUAGUUUCUUGGCAUUUUAGUGGUUUCUUGCAUUAUUAGAGCAAGUACAAUAGAGCCGAGUCAGCGGGCUAUAAGAAAUAAACUAGUAUAUUUCUUCUUAGUUGGAGGAAAGAGAAGAGGAGAGAGAAGGUAAGCGGGUUCGUGAAGAGCCAGCUCUAGCACGUGCUCCUAGGCACUAUGUGAGAAUGAGAAGUGGGCCACAUAAUAAAAAAGUAGUACACUCUUUUGAUCUAUUAUUGUACAUGUUGGCUAUAAGAUGAGCUGUAGAUGACAUGGCACUGGCUUAUAGCCAGCAGCUGGCUAUACUAUUAACCAUGCUCUUAGGGGUUUCUUGUAAGGAACAAUGUACGUACUACUAGCGACAAAAGGCGAUUCUAGGUUGCGUUGUACUCCAACGAGUACUACUAGUGGUCGCGGGAGUGUAUACCUCAUUUUGUGGGUUCAAUCCCGGCCGAACGCACGGCGGCCUUUUUUUUAAAAAUAGUACUACUACACUUCGCUGCAAGCCAAUAUUCACGGGUAGUUUGAGUUUUGAAGUCUAACGGACGUGCGGCCCCACAAUCUGGGUGCACUGGAUAGCCUAGCCACGUGAACGGGUUUUCCUUCCCAGCAUCCCGUGGCUCGCGUGCUCGCCCUAGCCGCAUCUCGCUUGCAGCUUCCAGCUAGUAGCAUAUUUAAACUAGCGCCUCCCAAUUAAGCCCGAGGAGCCGGAAAAGCCUGGCGGGGCAUUGGGAACUGUGCAAUAUGGCUCUGUACGUAAAGUGCUCUACUACUACUCUGUAGCUUGUGGCGUUACACGCAUGGACUUCACUCCAUUAUCGGCUCUACUAUAAAAGAAAUUCCUCUUGACGUGUUUUUUUGAAACGGAGGCAAAAGCUGUGCUUCAUCUCAUUCAUAAAGAAGGAACUACUAACAAAGUUUGACGAGAUCCAUUACACCUCCACAAAUGGAAGCGAAAAGCCUAGUCUCGCUGUAUCAAAUAACUCAAAUGUUCUGCCCCCGCAGUAACCGUCGCUGAUAAACAGGCUGUUAGUGUGUGCGUGAGAGGAGCGGCUGAGUAGGCCAGCUACGUGAGAGGAGCGGUUGAAUAGAGCACCGAGAGUACCCACUAGGCCACUACGCAGGUGUACUUCCCCUGCAUUGAUAGUACAGCGAUGGUUCUAGAGAACAAUAGUACCCUCCACUUCCAACUGUAGCUCCUUGGCCCUGAGAUUCAAGAGUUCAAAACUGGUGCACUAUACUAGACUAGACUAGAAGUACAGUAAAACGCACUACUAGUUGAGAAAAGUAGUACUAGUACUGCUACAGUACGAGUACGUACUCCUCCGUCACAUAAUGUAAGACGUUUUUUGACACUAGUUGGCGUGUACAAAAAAUGGCAAAAACAUACCCAAAAUUUCUUAAUCCACCCCAAAAACUACUACCUAGUGCCAAAAGUUUCUUACUAGUGCUAUUAUUUACAGUAUAAUGCAAUCCCAUAACGUUCCAUAAUGCUAGUACUUGUAGUAAAUAAUAGCCUCGCCCCUUCGCUAAGGAACGAUCUACAGUUGGAAGGGACGAGGCCCUGCGGUUACUACGCUCUUAUCUCCUCCUCGCCAGUUCCCCUCCCCCGAAGAGAAGGCAGUUCGUCGCUGCUCCCAUGGAUUCUCUAGGCGGUUCUCCUCCUCGUCGGGGCUGGGAGACCUUGGACGAUGAUCCUCUGGGAGAAAUCGCACGCCGCUCCGACUUCCUCACCGCCGCAAGACUCGGUGCUUCCUGCACCAACUUUUUCAAGACGCUGCUUAAGCAGGCUCGGGAAAAGGCCAUGCUUGUUGGUCUUCCAUGCGUCCUCGAGGAGAAGGUUCUUUUAUGGGACAGUCCUUCGAACAGUCCACCGCUCCCUGGCCAUGGUUGCACGUUGACUCCGCUAGAGUUGCCGACGUUGAGAGGUAGUCGGAUUUUGUCCGAUGAACAGGUCAGUAAUGGAGUUUGAUCAUGUAGUACUUAGUUAUUCCAUUUCCAUCCCGUAAUUUCUCUGCUGCCCACCGUCUUAUAUAUAGGUCUGGGUUGGUGCCAACGAAGAUUGGCUUGCAUACCUCCGGCCGGAUACCACCAUCAUUUUGCACAACAUCCACAGCAGUGCGGCCAUUUCGGUAGACCCCUUCUCCACCAUUGGGAUCGGCCUUCCGGACUGGCUGGGCUUGAGGCUUGAAUACGUAUGAUGAUGCCUACAUGAGAUUGAAGAAGAUAGCAAUUGCGGACCCGCCGACAAAGCGACGCGGCUACGACGAUUACUAUCUCAUCACGGUGUUCGACAUAAGAAUUGCCAUCAAUGCAAGAGGCAGUAACGGCAGAGGCUGGCGCAUGUUGGCGGCGGCAGAUUUGUACCCCUACACGUUCGAAGACGCCGUGUGCCAUCUAGGCCGCAUAUUCGCGGUGACAAGCCAGGUGACUUGUUUCAUCUGGUUGCCAUCCUACGGUACGGGAGAUUACAAACAGAAUGCACAAACCAUCAUUUGCAUCCCUAACGGUACUCCAUUAUUUUGCAGGGACCAGUCAUCCCCCGAUCAAAAUAAGAUCGCCGAUCCUGGAUGUGCAUUUGCAUCCGCGAUUCGGUCUAACCUGGAACCUUGUAGCUGACUUUGGCAUAUUGGGAUCAACUAUCUUAGCAGUCGUUACCCAUGGUACCACUGAUGUGCAACAUGGUCACACAAUCUACCACGAUCGGACCAUCACCAUCUACCCAGGUAUUCCAUUUUUUAACCCUCUCGCCUUCUCUUUCAUUGUUGUACUAGUAGUAUACUUUGUAGUACUAGUAGGAGUACUUUUUACCUUGGAGGACGCGUAUAGCUAGCUAGGCCCUUAAAGACUUGAACCCACUAGCUGCCACCAUUUUUGUUUUUCCAUGUCUUACUAUCUCAUCCAUGUUGCCAAGAGUGGCUAUAUAUAAUAAGCCAGUUAUUUUACUUCCUCUAUACCGGAGUAGUACUAUUUGCUGCACAGUAUUACUGACCGCCAUAUUUGAGCCCAACAUUAUUAUGCAUGGACCUUGACUAUGUACGUCACCAUGUGUCCAGAUCUGGGAUGCCGCGUGUACGAGAUGAACAGCGCCGAGUUCGACCCCCGUGAUGCUACGUGGGUGCCGAGGAACACUCUUGGAGAGUACUCGCUUUUCAUCGGGGACAGCUACCCCAUUGUGAAGCGGAUGCCACCUUCCGUGCAUGACACGGAAGGCCUGCCGUUCAUGAAGCAUGGUUGUGUCUUCAGUGCGCACCGCCGGAUGAACGACAAGCUGGGACACGCUAUCCCUGAUUUAUGCCGCUUCAGCUUGGAUGAGUCUCCAUCGUGUGGAACCGGACUAGAAAGCUGCGACAAUGAUUCCCGUUGCCCACCGCUAUGGAUCGUGCCAUCCAUGAAGAACACAUGGGACUGGAACCUGGAGGAGGACAUGUAGCCCAUCUAUAACAUGUAAGUGGAGUACGGUAAUUGUGAACGGUAGCGCUGUGAAUAUAUGUAGACUAGUCGUGCACAAAUUUAUCACAUGAAUUGGAGAUGAACUUGUGUGGCAUACUAGUAAGUGUGUUACGUGUACGUGCAACUUGUGUGGUUGUUGCACGGGCUCCAACACGCUCUUUGAGAAAAAAAGGUGGCACAACUUUGGAUAUACGUGACGUGGCGACAUCAUACAGUAGCAUCGUUCGCUAUAGUUGUAGUACACUCCUACUAGGAUGCCAACUCCUAUAAAACCUUGCGCUUGGCUCUUUGCCUCUUCGGGAGGUUUAACAGUUCGUACUCUUGUGAACCUUGCACUUGGCUCUUCGCCUCUUCGGAAGGUCCAACAAUGAUGAUACUACAGUACAAUAUGCUUCUGGCAAUCUGACACCGAUUGAACUGCUGCACGUCCACCGCGAGGGCGAGGGCGAGGGAGAGGGAGAGGGAGAGGGCGCUGUAGUCAAAACCCUCUCCUCGUCCUGCGAACCACCGCACGCGUGGGCGAGGGAGAGGCGUAGUAAGCAAGCUUCUCCUCGUUCGGCGAGUUGACGGGACACAUCAAAGCAGUACUAGUACUAGUAGUAGUAGUCCAUACUGCGUCCUUUCCAAUUAAUAUGGCUUAAUUUGAAUCGAGAAAAAUACACUGGCGGUAAACAUAUGUAACAAUACGCUCUUUACGGUCACUAUAUAUAGUUUUGCGGCGAUUAUACGAUCACUAGCUCAUCGUAGAGCACUGUAUUGCACCCUACUGACAGGCCACAUAGUCGACGUGGCACUUUGUUGACUGGUUAAAUUGUCACCUGGUUUCUGGGUCCCACCUGUCAGUUGGCAGAGCAAAGAAAUCAGUGUUGCGUGCGUCCAUGUGUACGUGUGAGUGUUGCAUGUUGCAUGCAUGCAUGCAUGGGGCUUACUCCCUCCCAUUGACAUGUUCAUAUUUCAAGCUUCCUCUGUUCCCUCCAUAUGGUAAUACUCCCUCUGUUCCCAAAUAGUACGGAGUAAAAGCCUCCCUCUGUUCCCAAAUACGGAGUAUUUGUCUUUCUACAGAUUUCAACAAGUGACUAGGUACGGAGCAAAAUGAGUGAAGUGAGCGUAGAGGCAUUGGGAUACUGUAGAAAGGAAGUCCUCGCGAUCCAUUAUUCCCCAUCUCGGUCUGAGAGAACUAUUCAACUAGUCUUCGUAGUGAAGUGACAAUACACACUGUAGUAGAUGGGACACGUAAAUAAUAAGCUGAACCAUCGUGUUGGUGUUACUAAAUCAGCCUUACCCAGUACUGCCAUCAUGUUUGCCAGUAGAGCACGCUUCCGCAAAUAUGCCUACGCACCUCUGUCCUCCAUUAACUGACAUAUGGGCCCUGUUGUGGUAGACCCACAUGACAUCGGUGUAACUAUUUACACUCCGAAGGACGGUAUAUCCUGGUAGUAGUACUAGUAGAAUUGAGAUUGAAUGCACUUUCUUCCCCGUCUUCCACUCUUCUUCCACCUCUCUUCUUCUUCCUCCUCUCUUCUUGUUCCUCCUCUCUUCCCCAUCGUCGGCCGCACACCAUUUACCCCCGCUCACUGCUCGCCCGCCCGCGCCAUCUUCCUUGGUAGCUCGCGCGUACCAUAUCCCCCCACUCACUGCUCGGCCACACAAGGAGAAGCUUCUUUGCUCGCCCGCCCGAAUCCACUUCCCCGCUGGCUCGCAGGCACCGAAAACCCCAAUGGCAGAACCGACUGACACGCAGAGCCGCGAUUGGAAUUCCCUCCCCGAUGUUCUCUUGGAGCAGAUCUGUAGUCGUAUGGAUCUACUCAGCACCGUCCGUCUGGCCGCAUGCUCGGUGUCUUCGUACCGUCUACUCGUCUGCAAUCGGCCGGCUCUUUUCAAGACACCCUGCUUGCUGAUGCCCGAUCCUCGCAGGUGGCCUAGACACCGACUUGAUGAUCCUACGGAGGUUGCCGUGGUGCCCCUCGACAUGCUACCACUACCCGUCCACCUGUCCUUCAUGCGCGGCCACUACUGGGCGGGCAUGAAGGCCAACUAGAUCGUCCUCAUCCACCACACCGGUAGUCUGUGGCGUCUCGUGGAUAUCUACACCCAGCGAGAGAUCACCCUUCCAUCGUUGGAUACCGCCGCCAUCGAGCCUCGCGGCCCGUCGGACACUCCUGCCUACUACGCACGAGACGCGUCAAGCUUUUGGCCCGACCUCUGUUUGCAGAAAGUUGUAAUCUGCGAAGUGCCCACACCAUCCGAAGACUACAUGCAUUACAAGCUCAUUGCCUUGUUCAACAUGGGAUUAGUCUAUCUGGAAUCCGGUCGCCAUACAUGGUUAUGGCUCAUCAUCAAUCUUGUCGAGGCAACAUUUCUGUCUGAUGCUAUAGUGCACGAUGGCAUCGUUCACGCGGUCGACGCAUCGAUUGGCUGCCUAUACUGGUGGAAUCUAUCAUCGUGUAAUUGUUCUAUCUCAUCUCAUCUUUACCUUAUGAAUACGACUGCCUGUUCAUUUGUUACAAAUUUAGAAUGCAUAUCAUGUCUAUAACCACAUCAUUGCUAUAUGUUCCUAUCAUUUCCUAGAUUUUUAUGACCACACAUGUUAUUGUUAGAGUUGAUAUGAGAACAAUUGGCAUCUAAUGAUUGUUAGAAUACAUAUUAUGAGCAUAACAUCUUGAUUGCUAUAUGUUACUCUCGUUUACAAGAUUUUUAUAACAACGCAUGUUAUUGCUUAGAGUUGAUAUGAGAAUAGUAGUAGUAAGUGCUAUGGUAGAAUAUGAGUAGGCGCUGUCAUAGCUGUUUUCCUCUCAUUGUUACAUGAUGUUUGAACCAUGACAUAUUGCUAGAAUAUGAAAGCCAUUGGCUUAUUUUUUUAACUUGGGGUAUGAUUAUGACCACGACAUUGCAAUUCUCUGUCUAUGAUAUGUGUCACUGUUAUAAUAAUCUUAAUUCCACACAUACUCUGAACAUGAUUGUUUAUUUUUGUCAUUUUGGUCUCCAAUUUGAAUUGUUGCAGCAGAUGCAAAUGCGCUGGCCUUCAUGAUUCCAGGACCUGGAAUCAUACCAGCCGAUGGGUGGUGGUUUAUCGCUCGUUCAGCUGACGGCGAUCAUUUGAUGCUCAUUCGCACGUACCAAAUUGACCAAACCAUUACAUCAAACCACAUGCAGUACAAUGCGUGGGGCGUUCAUGACAUUGAUGGCUAUGGCUGCUUCGUGUUCGAGAAAGAUCCCAGCUCCGUUGGGCCAGGCGUAUUCAACUGCAGGCGGGUUUACAGCCCCGGCAACCACUCCUUGUUAGGUGACACAAGAAUCCCGGCGGCGUGUUCGGGUAUUCUGGACUUCAAAUUUGGAGUACCACUUAUUUGUCGAAAUCUUUCAUCAUUCACUUAAAACAGUCGAUUGAUCAUACAUUGAGUACCAUAUAACUGGAAUUACCGAUGCAAGUCGAAGAAGGAUUAGCCGGUGCUGCCGGCUGGCGUCAAGUUUGAUCCCACGGAUCAGGAGCUGAUCGAGCACCUUGAGGCCAAAGUGAGUGCUGACAGCGCGAGAUUUCAGUCUCUCAUUGAUUUGUUCAUACCAACCAUCGACAGCGAGCAGGGCAUAUGCUACACCCAACCUGAGAAACUUCCAGGUAAGACACCGAUCGGCCGUCUACUUGCACAAACAUAUUCCUUUGUUUAUAGCUCUAUUUUUCUUUUUAGACGCAGACCUGGUGAAGCAAUUACAAUUUGACAGUUAAUAAAAAGUGAAAGAAGUGACUGCAACAUGCCAAAGAUGUUAUGAAAAUGCCAACUAGGUACACUAAAACCUGUAUUCCACAAUACUGCAGGUAUCACACUGAGUGGCCUAAGGAAGCAUUUCUUCCAGCACAAUUCUAGGGCGUUCAAAAGGGGCACGUGGACGCAUCGCAAGAUACAGUCAGAGUGCGGCAUGCACGCAAUGUGGCACAAGACCGGCAAUACCUUGCCGGUGAUGGUCAACGGCCGGCAGACGGGCAGCAAAAAAGGUUCUGGUGCUGCACACCAACAAGAACUUCGACCAGCAGAGGACCAACUGGGUGAUGCACCAGUACCACCUCGGGGACCUGGAGCAAGAGAAGGAGCAGGAGCUGGUCCCCUGCAAGAUUUUCUACCAGACGAACACUAGGGCCAGGAGUAAAAAGAUUAUAAGUUAGUUUGGUAUUGGUAGUUGUACUACCUUGUCGUCCGCAAAUUGGUAUUGUUGUUAACGAUCUUUUGGUAUGAACUUGCAUUUGCUUCCAACCAUCAUGCCGAGGGUCGACGUGGAUAUAAAGCUGAAUCAUUUGUUUCAAAACGAAUUUUCAGGCACCUGAUUUUUAUUUGAUGGGUAGCAUAAGCACCCGCCGUUCGAAUUCCCAGUUCUCCAAUUUUUUCGAAACAAGUGCAUGCACUUAUUAUCACGAUAAAAAAACAAUAUCCGUGCUGCAUCCCAGUUAUCAGUCUGUACUUGCAGAAUUCUCUCAUUUAUUGAGCACGUAUAUUGUUUUUUCAGGUCGAGCAAGUUUCAACUGGGUUGUAGACUGCCCAGGGUUGGUUUUGUUUUUAACAGGCCCAGCCCAUGACGACAACGGGGCACAAAGAUCCAGCAGGUAUCUACUGGCCUCUGGCCCGCCAGCGUUACUUAUAUUUUGUCUUACAACAUCCGCAAGCAGUUUUUUUACUAAAUCAAACACACAGCCUAGUUCUAUUUUCCUCUUGAAACGCAUGUCCUACAUCCGUUUUCUAAUCUCUACCUAUAGUUUUACUAGUUCAUAUACACGUAUCAUUAUAUUGAAAACACAUAAAAUUCCCUUUUCAUAUAUACAUCCUUAUUUUUGUUGUUUUUUCCCACCCAGCGCUGUUUUUUACCACUGGUUUUCCUUAAACCAACUCAAUUGUCCCACGUCUUAUUUGCUUACAAAAACAAAACGAUUUUUUUGGCAAAUCAAUAAGUUCUUAAAAAAAUGUUUAUCAUUUCGGGAUUACAACAGUUCGGACUCCACCGAAAUAUGCAAAAUAAGGUUGAACUUUUUGACCGUGGUCCUGGGCAGAAAAUGGGCUGUAAUAAAUUACUUAAGAAUUAGCAAAUGGGCUGCAAAUUAUAAAAAAUAGCAAAUGGGCUUUAUGUUGUCUGCCACAGAUUUGGAGGCUGACUUGUGGGCGUACUAAGUUCAUGCGUACACAAGGUUUCUCAAAAAAGAAACUUAGUCAACAAUCGACUCUACCAGCAUCAGACCGUUAGAUGUCAAUCUAACGGCAAUCGUGCUUCUUCAGUCUCUGAUCUUCCUGCCCCAGCCGCCCAAACCAGCGCCAUCGGAACCGCCUGCUCCCGCCUCCCGUGGCCGGCAAUGCUGCCGGGCAGGCCUCACGGCCCCAUCAUACUAGCAUCCCUGGCCUGUCUAUCCCUCUACUCACCCACACCUCCUGUUAUUUUCCGGCUACGGCAACCGAACCAGUCAACCCUCGUACUCUCCACCGCGUGGGCAGCCACUGCCGUGUCUUCCCCGGCUCCGUGUCGUUCCCUUCGUAGGCCUCGCCAUCGUCCACCGCCCUGGUGCUCUCGGCGCGGCGUGGUCAACGAUGUCCAUCCAACGGCCGUAGUGCUUCUUCAACCUCUGGUCUUCUUGCCCCAGCCGCCCAAAGCAGCGCCGGUCGUGCCGCAUGCUCCUGCCUCCCGUGGCCGGCUGUGCUGCCGCGGAGGCCUCACCGUCCCCAUACUACUCCCACCGCUGGCCAGGCCAUCCCUCCACUCAUCCACUCCCCCUGUUAUUCUGCGGUGACGGCAGCCUCACACCGCAGCCGAACCAGUGAACCCUCGUACUCCUCUCCGCGCGGGCAUCCACUGCCGCGUCUUCCCCGGCUCCGCGUCGUCCCCUUCCUAGGCCUCGCCGUCGUCCACCGCCGUGGUGCUCUCGGCGCAGCGUGGUCAAUGUGGUCAACGACCGACUUCCAUCGGAAGCGUACUGUACGUGGAGAGGCUGACAGCUGGGUCCACGGCAGCCGCAAGGAAGUGCCUCCUUAUUACGCGCAAAAUAAUUAUUCCUCCACCUGACAGCAGGGACCCACCGGACGGGCCACCAGUAUUUUGCGGAAAAAACGUUUGCCCCUGACUGCUGGGACCCACCGGACGGGCCACCGUAUUUCGUGGAAAAAACGUUUGCCCCUGACUGCUGGGACCCACCGGACGGACCACCGUAUUUCGCAAAAAAACGUUCCCCCCGCUGUCAGCUCAGACCCACCGGAAGUGCCUCCUUAUUACGCACAGAAAAAUGAAUACCCCCUGCUAGCUAGGACCCACCAUGGUGGGAGGCUGACUUGUGGGCCUACUAAGUUGACGGGGACGGAGGGCUUUGUCAACUUAGUCAAUAUGGACGAUUCUAGCUCCAGUGACCGUACGAUGUCCAUCCAACGGCCGUCGUGCUUCUUCAAUCACUGCUCUUCCUGCGCCAGCCGCUCGAACAAGCGCCGGCGGGACUGCCUGCUCCCUCCUCCCCACGGCCGGCUCUGCUGCCGCGCAGGCCUCACCACCCCACCGUACUCCCAUCGCUAGCCUAGCCAUCCCUCUACUCACCCACACCUGCUGUUAUUCUCCGGCGACGGCAGACGAACCAGUAAACCCUCGUACAGUCGUACUCCCCUCCACGUGGGAAACAACUGCCGAGUCUUCCCUGCCUCCGUGUCGUUCCCUUCCUAGGCCUCGCCGUCGUCCACCGCCCUGGUGCUCUCGGCGCGGCCUGGUCAACGUGGUCAACGACCAACAUGCAUCUGAAGUGGACUGUACGUGGAGAGGCCGACAGCUGGGGCCACGGCCGCACGCAAGGGAGUGCCUCCUUAUUACGCUCAAAAUAAUGAUUCCUCCACCUGACAUCAAGGACCCACCAAAAGGGCCUCUGUAUUUCGUGAAAAAAACUUUACCGCCACUGACAGCUCGGACCCACCAGCUAUAUCUUCGCACGCAAGGAAGUGCCUCCUUAUUACGCACAAAAAAAUGAAUACUCCUCCUGUUAGCUGGGACCCAGUAUAGUGGCAGGCUGACUUGUGGGCCUACUAAGUUGACGGGGACGGAGGGCUUUGUCAACUUAGUCAAUAUGCACGAUUCUAGCUCCAGUGACCGUACGAUGUCCAUCCAACUGCCGUAGUGCUUCUUCAACCUCUGGUCUUCUUGCUCCAGCCACCCAAACCAGCGCCGGUCGUGCCUCGUGCUCCUGCCUCCCGUGGCCGGCUGCGAUGCGGUGGAAGCCUCACUGCCCCCUACUACUCCCACCGCUGGCCAGGCCAUCCCUCUACUCACCCACACCCCCUGUUAUUCUGCGGCGACGGCAGCCUCACACCGCAGCGAACCAGUGAACCCUCGUACUCCUCUACGCGUGGGCAUCCACUGCCGCGUCUUCCCCGGCUCCGCGUUAUCCCCUUCCUAGGCCUCUCCGUCGUCCACCGCCCUGGUGCUCUCGGCGCGGCGUGGUCAACGUGGUCAAGGAACGGCUUCCAUCGGACGUGGACUGUACGUGGAGGGGCUGACAGCUGGGUCGACGGCCGCAGCAAGGAAGUGCCUCCUUAUUAUGUGGAAAAUAAUUAUUCCUCCACCUGACAGCGGGGACCCACCGGACGGGCCACCGUAUUUCGCGAAAAAAUGUUUCCCCCCUGACUGCUGGGACCCACCAGCUACACCUUCGCACGCAAGGAAGUGCGUCCGAGCAAAAAAAAAACAAAACGAUUCGCCCCCCUGACUGCUGGGACCUACCAGCUACAUCUUCGCACGCAAGGAAGUGCCUGACAGUCGGGACCCACCUGGUCUAAGCGUACGUAGCGUUGUCAUUCUGGUCGCGAACGUGUACGUACGUAUAUACUGGUGGAUGUAGAGGCGCGCACGUGUCGUAGUAGAGGCGUGUACAUGUCGUAGUAGAGACGCACACAUAGCAUGUACACGUACGUAUAGCGGCCAGGGUGCAAGAAAGAAAAUACGGCCACGUAUGUGUAUAUACGGGCGGGGUCUCGAACGCCUACUCGCGCAUACGUACGGCCAGGGCUCGUGUACAUGGCUGGGUCGGAACGGAGAAACAGCGUCGUCGUCGUGUUCAUGGGGAGGCAAUGGAAUGCGUCGUGUUCAUGGGGAGGCAACGGAAUGCGUCGUGUUCAUCGGGAGGCAACGGAACGCGUGGGAGCCAACCGGCUGGGUCGGAACGGAAUGCGUGGUCGUGUUCAUCGGGAGGGCUUGGACGGAACAGGCGAUGGAAACGAGGCCUGGCGUACCGCAGAACGGAGAAAACGGACCUCCUACGGUCGAAACGGGGGUCCUAUUGAUCGGGAGGGGUGUGGCGUACCGCAAAACGGAGGAAACGGACCUCCUACGGUCGAAACGGGGGUCCUGUUGAUUGGGAGGGGUGUGGCGUACCGCAAAACGGACGAAACGGACCUCCUACGGUCGAAACGGAGGUCCUGUUCAUCGGGAGGGGUGUGGCGUACCGCAAAACGGGACUCCACGGGAUACUGUUCAUCUCCACCGUCGACCUCCUCCAGCCUCCACGGGCUACCGUCGACCUCCUCCAGCCUCCACGGGCUCCUGUUCAUCCAGCCUCCACCGCGCGCUACUCCACCAGCUACUGUUCAACCACCCCUCCACCGUCUACUGUUUAUCCAGCCCUCCACACCACGGGGUCCUGUUCAACCACCCCUCCACGGGCACCCCUCCACCGUCUACUGUUCAUCCAGCCCUCCACACCACGGGGUCCUGUUCAUCCAGANNNNNNNNNNNNNNNNNNNNNNNNNNNNNNNNNNNNNNNNNNNNNNNNNNNNNNNNNNNNNNNNNNNNNNNNNNNNNNNNNNNNNNNNNNNNNNNNNNNNNNNNNNNNNNNNNNNNNNNNNNNNNNNNNNNNNNNNNNNNNNNNNNNNNNNNNNNNNNNNNNNNNNNNNNNNNNNNNNNNNNNNNNNNNNNNNNNNNNNNNNNNNNNNNNNNNNNNNNNNNNNNNNNNNNNNNNNNNNNNNNNNNNNNNNNNNNNNNNNNNNNNNNNNNNNNNNNNNNNNNNNNNNNNNNNNNNNNNNNNNNNNNNNNNNNNNNNNNNNNNNNNNNNNNNNNNNNNNNNNNNNNNNNNNNNNNNNNNNNNUCGAUCGGCUUCAGUUAGCAGCAGUAGCGAAGGAAUCGCUCGAUCGGGUUCAGUUAACAGACAUCGAUCGAUCGCUCGGGUUCAGUAAUGCGUAGCCUGCAGUGUAAUCGCUCGGGUUCAGUUAGAGCCCAACCCCUCGCUCGGGUUCAGUUAGAGCCAACGCCUCGCACACACGCGCGUACGUGUACGAGAGAAACGCACAUCGCUCGGCCCCCGACCUACCACCGUAACCGGGAACUCCCCGAAAUUUUCCUCGCCCUCGCUUCUACCAUGGUUUUUUCCGUCAUGGACGGCCCAAAGAAUGUCAUGUAGCUGCGUCUCCGCCCGCCCAGGACGAAAAGCCCAUUUUCUGUCAUGAUUUUUUGUCAUAGAAGUAGGAGCCCACCACAUCUAUGAUGAUACCGGGUUUUGUCACAAUUAUCGUCAUAGAAGUGUCACAUGUAUGACAGAAAAAAAUUUCGUUUGGCCCAAAAUGUCACGGAUGUGUCUUUUUUUGUAGUGUAAGGGGCCUCUGAAACCGGGACAAAUGGGCCGGUUUCUACCAGUGGAAGCUCCAUCCUCCUUUCUCGUCCUCUCUUCCUUUUCUCAUAUCAGCUUUCAUCCAUCUCCCAUACUGUUGCACCUCACCUCUCCCUAGUCCAAUAGAACACGCCUUGUCCACGUGUCCAAUUAUACCACACGUGUAACAAAAAUCAGGGAGGUACUCAUACUCUAGGGGGCACCAUUUUUGCUCAUCAUCUUUCUUCUUUCUUUUAUCCACGUCCAUCACUUCUGCAGACUCCUUGUCUUCUCCCGUUCAAUAUCCAAAGUGAUUCCUCUCAACAGUGGCUUUGUAAUGUCUAGUCUAACUUUCAGCCUAAGGAAACUUCCAGCCACAUUAUCAUCAUCCCCCUGGUUACCUCCAUGAACUCGCCAAUCUCGUCACCAAUGAUCCCUCCGUUUUCUUCACUCAUGAAACCUAGCGGCAUCUUGGUCACCCUGACCCAAAUAGGGAUGAUAGUGAACUCAUACUCUUCUAGCGUUUUAGCUGGGUCGAAAUCUACCAUCACAAUCAGGUUCUUGCCCACCAUCCAUGGCCCUUCCUCCAAUGCUUUCCUCUUCCCCGCUGCUUGCAAGAAGGUGAAAAGAAAGGUGUUGUCCUCUAACUCCUUGCACUUGAUUCCCUUGAUCGGACACCACGCUCUUCCGAGGGAUUUAAUCAUACCUUCCACAUAUACUGGUUUGUCGGACAUAACCUUACCGAUCGCCUGUGGAUCUUCCGUUCCCGUUCUCCUCAACCCGCCCCUUCCGAUCUUGACUCCCUUCUUCUCUGCUUCUGGCAACCGCAACUUCUGCAUCAAACCUUCCACUUUCUCCAUUGUGUCGAGGACUUGCAUCAAUCUAUGGUUUACUAGGUGGUUGUAUUACGAAUGGAUGCCCUAGCAACACUCGUAAGGCUUUUGGUGGAUGGGUGAGCGGUCUCGAGAUCAAUCUAGCAAGGAUCGCCGAGGCUAGGGGGAGAGUUUGCUGGCGUCGGCCAGAGACGGGGUCGCCUGAGGGGACUCUAGGGUUUACCAGGAGUCACCGUAGAAUCCCCUGGGAAUCGCCCAAGCGCCAAUCAUGGAACCGUCACCCAAGGGACGGACGGGUUAAGGAUGAUAAUUAAAGCGGACUUUGAUAGAGAGACACGUGAGAAAUAGAGUGAUAGAGAGAGAUACGUGAAAAUUAAAGCGGUUUUAAUUUCUUUCUUUUCUGUAAUUAAAGAGAUACGCAUGAGAAAUAGAGAGAUAAGAGAGAUACCUGAGAAUUAAAGCUGUUUUAAUUUUUUCCGUUUCUAUGAUUAAAGAUCUGAUCUACACAGUUACAAUCUUGACCUGCAAAAUCAACGGCCUCCAUUUUCUAUUUUUCUCUAAUUAAUGUGGGAAUUUCUUGGGAGUGCCUAUUAGUAUAGGUAUAUAUAUGUGCAAAAAUCUCGACAUUAAUGAACAUAUAUCUGGUGCACUUGCAAUCUUUUGUAGUACAUUAAUGAAUAUUUAAAGUAUUUUCCAACUCUUGCUAUUUAUAGACUUGUCGUCCGUGUCUGCCACAUUUGGAGUCCAACUAUUUCCUACUGGAACCUUACACUCCACUAGAACUGAGUUUGUCAAGUAACAGAUAACCAAUAUGAGAGGGAGCAGCCUAGUGCAGGCGACGAUGAUAUUCUUCAUUGGAUGCCUUGUGCUUUGUGCACAGUGUAAGUAUAUAUCAUCAUCGUCUUUAGAAUCUUGUGUUAACUUCUUGCCACUAAUUCUUCGGAUCAGACAUACAUACACACACACAUCUGCGGUACUGCAUACUAAGGUUAAAUAUACUAUACAGGUGCUCUCGAUAAUAAGCAAAGGAUGGUCAACCAGGAUGAUCAUGCGGCGAACACAAGUACCAACGCUACCAUCAUCAACUCAACAACUGUAGGCGAGAGCAAGAAAACCGAGAAAUUUUGCAGCCUCUUUCUCGUAUGUUAUUUCAACAUUGAGAUUCGUGCUGAGUGCUACUGUUGCGAGAAUAAGAAUGCCGACUGUUACAAGACGAAGAGUGAGUGCCUGCAAAAGUGCCAUUCCUACAACGGUUAAUGCCCACCUUCAUCGCGGUCUUUGGGAUAGAAUUCCAUAUGCUUGGAAAAUUUGCCCGUCGGUAAUAAAAGGCACCUUAUAUGGUUUGGGCAAUUAGGUUCCAAUUAAACAUGAGAAAGCCCGCAUGUUUCCGUGUAGAUCCAACAAGGAAAAAUUUGAUGAAAGAAAUCCAAGUAACUAGUUGUCUUGCAUAUUUACAAAGUUCAAAUCCUUUGGUUGUUGUGCUUUGACUCGAUUGUCUAUUAUGCUGUUUCAUUUACUUGCACAUUGCCCACUUGUUCAUUUAACACACAUCACCCACUUGGUGAUUUG